rnacentral:lncRNA from 1 species
UUUCAGCCGUUUUUUUUUUAACUAAAAGGGAAACCCCUUUUCUCUCAAAGAAGUCCGGCCAUGUGGGGUUCCUGAUGCGCCACCGCUAGGCUCGCCGCACCGCCACUGCUCCGACGGCCGACGAAGCGCCAAAUCGGCGCGGCAAACCCCGUCCCGGUGAGCACCUCUCCUUUUUUAUUUAUUAUAUUGUAUAUACGCAAAUAGAUAAACAAAAAAAUAAUAAAAUAGUAUAGGAAAAAGAUUAAACUAUCAAGAGAAAACCGAAUACAGACACUAGAAAUCACCUUUGAAAUUUAAUUUUUAUUUCUUUGCUAAUCUCUUUUUUGAUACAUAAGAUUGCUAACCCCAAAGAAGAAGCAAAAAAGGGUACAUAUUCGGCUUUUUAUAGCCGAUUUUUGGCUACUGUUUCUGUUGUUUGUCUUCUUUUUUCUUUGUUUUGUUGUUUCUUUGCAGGUGACGGCGCAAGUGGUGGUGGUGACGUGACCGUGGUGGUGACGACGUGACGUUGGCGGCGGCGGCAGGCCAAAAGGCAAUAGGUGCGGCGCCUAGGGUUUUAGUUUCUGAAACCCUAGGCAGAUUUUUUUUAAGGGAAUUGGGCUUUAGGUUAUUGGGCCAUGGGUGUUGGGUUUGUAAAGGACUUUGGGGUUUGGGCUGGUAGCUGGUGGGUUUAGUUUGGGAAUUGUUUUUGGGCAGGUUCUGUAAUGGGCUAGGCUAGUUGGGCUUAUUUUUAGGUCUGUUAUUGGGCUAAAAUUUUGAGUUGUUGGGCCCCGGGCUAAAUUUGGCUUUGUACAAUGUAAACAUAAUCUAAAUAUUUUAUUUAUAAUUGGAUUAUUUGUUCCCUUGUUAAUAAAAUACUGAAAUAUAUCAAGAAGAUUAUUUCUCUCAUUAAUAUCUAAAAAUCUAAUUUCUAGUUCUUCCCAAUCUUGAUACAAAAUAGAUUUUAAUAAUAAAUCACGAGCUUCUUGUUCUUUAGUUAUAUUUUCAACUAAAAAUUGUGAAAGCUUAGUAAGAGCUCUUCUGAAGUUAGCUCUUUACUCGGUAAUAUGGGUUUUUCAUAUUUCAUUAAUAAAAUUAUAUGGUUUCGACACUAAUGAUAAGUCUGGAUUAUAAAAAUAUUUUAUUUUCUAAAUAUGUUGUGGUUUCAACAAAUUUUCUAUUGCAUAACUUUUCUACUUCUCUAAUAAUUUAAGCAUAACUAGCUUAGUACGCUGAAUUUGAAUAUUGCGACUAAAGUAGUUGACUUACCAGUUGUGGCUGAUGCAAUUAACUCAAUCUAAAGUUAAAAUUUAAUCUUUGACAAUAUUAGUUUUUAACUUGUAGAAAAUUACCAAAGCAAGCAAACAACCAGGCUUAAAGCAAUGAUAUAGAAAAAGAAAGGUUCAGCUCACUAAUCAGUCAAAACAAAUACCGUAAGACAACUGAUGUGGUUUUAUAGGAGGAGAAAUAAGAGUUUUUUUUAUAGAUAAAAAAGCCACUUAGUGAUUAAUUUCAAUAAUUAAGUGAACUAAUUUUAAAAUAAAAUAAAAGUAAAUACCAAUAAACUACCUUCUUAAUUAAUUAGGAAUAAGUACGGUUUUGUUCAAUUAGAUUUUUUGGAUUUCUUUUUCCAACUUUUCAUGUUUUUAAUUUGGUUUGGUUUCAUUUCGUUUUUAAUUUUUUUACAUUAAUUUUGAGUUUAGGAUUUUGGAUUUUUUAUGUUUUUUUUUUAUAAAUUUUGGACAGGUAAAAUUUUAAAAAAAAUAAUUUUUGAGUAAAUAAAAAAUAAUUAAUAACUCAUAUUUUUUUUUAAAAAAUAAUUUUUAUAUAACAUUUUAAAGUUAUUUUUCACUAUAUUUUUAAAUUAUUUUCAGUGUAUAAUUUUUAUAUAAAUAUAAUAUAUUUAUUCUUAUAUCAUAAAAUUUUAAAAUUUAAUUUUCAACUUAUAUUUGAAAAAUCAUCCAAAUUCAAAUUGAUUUAUCAAUUUACAAAUUUGUGGCCCGCAAAGUUCGCGCUCUAAUAUAGCAGUCUAGAGUAGCAAAUGAAAAAAAAAGUUAAAUUUUGCUAUUAGUUUUUAAAGUUAUAAAUUCAUUUUUUAUACUUUAAAGUGAACUUUAGUCAUUGUAUAUAAUUCUUAUACAUAUAGAUUCAAAAGCUAGUAGUGCAGGAUGCAUACAAUCAUAACAUUAAUUAGUUUUGAAACAAAAAAAUAAUUAUAUAGUAAUAAUUGUAUAGCAAUAACUGACAUGAAAUUACAAUUGAUAAUAACUGACAUAAAAUAGAUAAUAGUAAAUUUUAAUUUAAUGAAUUUAAUACUUAUCAUUUAGUAAUGAUUGAAAUUUUAAAAUUUAAAAUAUAAAGAUUAAAUCCGUAAUUUUCAUAAAGAACAAGAAACAAUAAUAAAAUUUUACCAUAAAAAAUUGUAAUACAUGCAUGCGAUGUUCUUCUCCCCAUUAGACAUUUUAAUUAAUUUUGAGUUUAGUUAAUUUAUAUAAAAAUAUUUCAAAUUUUUAAAAUUUUAAAUCUGAUUGAAUUCAAAUAAUUUUGAAUCCAAAAUAUUUAUACCAUUUCAAUUUUUGUUUAAGUCAAGUCCUUUAAUAGUAAACUUUUGUUAGAUCAAAUUCAAGGUCAGAGAAUCAGACUAUCAAAUUAUUAUCAAAAUUCAUAAUCUUGAGCAUAGAAUAAAACCUCUUUGUUUCUAAAGCCUUAACAAAAGUUAAAGAAAAAAAAAUUCAGAUCAAGACAGCAAUGUGCACGCAAACUGCAAUGGCAAUUCCUUUCCCCUCUACUCCUACAGCUGCAAAGAUUAAAAAUAAAAAAUAAAAAGAGAAAUGGAGAUCCUUUGAAGAGCACUUUUGCGGCGCUUUAUCUAUACCAGAUUGACCUUACAGCUCAUCCUGCAUUCAAAGGGAUAAUCAUUUUGAUUAAUGAGGCAUCCAAAAUCUAUAUAUAGGCAAAGGCAGAAAGGAAAAGAACUACUUACAUGUACGUCUUUCUCAACACUGUCUUUGCUUGCGUCUGAUUUGCUAUCGAAAUCAGACUCACUUCCUUCACCAUCAUCACUACUACUAUCACCAUGAUCAUCAUCCACCUGGAUAAUCGGUUAAACACAAUGAAAACCAGAAAGACGGCAAUUCAAGUAAAAUUAUAUCAUUGACAAGGCAUGUUAUAGACUUACAUCAGAAUCUGCGGCGUCAUCCUUGGAGUCCUGAAGGUCAUGUUACAUCAGUUAGAAAGAGAGAACUGCAAACAAGGCAGAAGUAUGACACUUGAUAGUCAAUAAUAUACCUCCUCUUCCUUUUUCUCUGCCUCCUCAAAUGCAGCCUUCUCGGCCUGCAAAAGCCAAUCAAAUCAACCACAAGCACAAACACCCCCAAAAAUAAGGUCAACAAGAACAGUUUGAAAUACAUAGAUUGACUUACAUCCUUCUGCUUGCCCCAUGUUUCUUCAGCUAGCUUUUUGGCAUACUCAACAUCAUCAGCAACUAAGAUAUUAUCAAACAAUGUUCCAGAUUUUACCUGGCAAAAACCAAACAUUUAUCUUGUUAUAGUUCUAAAAUGGCAUGGAAUGAUAAUAGGAUAGAUGUAGAGAGAGAAAAAGUGAUACCUGCCACAAUUCAAUACCAACAUGCUUCAAGUUGGGGAAAACAUAGAGAUCAGGAUCAUCCUUGAAAUCUGUGAACCAUAUAAAAAACACAGUAAUAAAUCACUUGAAAAUUUGUAAUUGAUAAGAAAAGAAAAAAAGCAUUACACAGGAAAUAGCUAUGAACCUGGGUUGUCAAUUUUUGGAGCCUUCCACUUGCCCUUGUAGUUGGGGUUCUUGAUUUUCUGCAGAUAGACAAAGAACUGUUAGACAUAAAUUGUCAAAUUAAAUGCUGCAAUUAGACAGGGAUUUCACGAACCUUAGGCUUCCAUGGGCCAUUGUACUCUGGGUUGGGAAUUGUUGAGGGUGUCCAUUCACCAUCUUCUUCAUCAUCCCAAUCUUCUGGCUGGUGUAAAUAAUUUUAAUCAUUAACCUUUAUUACAAAUAAGGCAUGCCCAUUUUAUAAUAGAUGCAUUACUGAAGCAUUAAAUGACUACCUUCGUAGCAUCAGGAUCAGGAAUUUCUUUUGGAAUGUCAUCAUAACCCUAUGGGAAAUCAAAAACUAGAGGUUAGCUUGCAUAUGCAUAACAAAACCAUGGAAGGGUUAAAAUACGAAGGUUGUUACCUCUGGCUUCUUGUCUUCAGGAUCAGGGAUGAAUUCCUUGUCAUCCCAAUCUUCAGGCUGCCAUCAUUCGAAGUUCUUAGUUGUAUCAAAUAUUCAUAUGAUAAAAUAAAACCAAAAAGACAUCAAUUCUGACUAAUGACCUUCUUUGCACUGGGAUCCUUGAUUCUCUUCGGUGGGAGAAGAUCCCAAUCAGUGUACAAGCUACCAGUUCGUUUCUCAACAUUAUCAAUAAGAAUUUUGUAAGUAGCAUCCGGAUGGAGAAUAAAUGUGUAAACGUGAGUAAGUUGGUCAGUCUCACAUGGAACUUCCUUUUUCAUCAAGUGGUUUGUCCCCUUGUAAUGAAGAAUAGCAUGUACUUUCUUUGUGCUUCCACAGAUAUCAGGCCCAAACAUAAUGCUGCACCCAACCAACAUUACAAAAAAAUAAGUAAAUCUGUAAUAAAAUCUUUUAGAGAUACCAAGAGGUUAGAUCAUAAGGUAAAAACCUGUAUGGGGUGUCACCACCAAAAUUCUUCUGGUCAAUGUCACCACUGAGUAGUUUCAUGUAACCACCACCACAAUCAAGCUGCUGCUCAUGCUUGACAGAAAAUUGGAAGACUAGAGUCUUGCCCUUGUUGUUAACUUCUGGGAACUUAGCCGAAAUAGCAUAGAACCUGUAGUCUUCACUAGUUUGAAUACCUUUGUCAUUAAGAUCCCCACUCCAUUUUCCAGAAGUGUAAUUCCAUUCCCCAGCCAUGUUGUCAUCUUUCUUCCAGUCAGAUUUUACCCACCGACUUUCCCAUCCAUCUUUGGUUUAAAAACAAUAGAAAUGCAAAAUCAACCAGAAAAAGAAAAGGUCAAAUUCUUCUGUUUGGAAACAGUGAAACGUACAAUAAAAACAUAAGCAGCUUCUCGUUUGUUAAAGGGAAAGCAAAAUUUUAGUAAUGCAGCCAUGCAUAGUACGUUAAAUAGUAGGAACACAUUAGCUAGACUCUGAUAUCUACUCUGAUUUAAAAGACCAUAACAUCUAAUUAAUUUUGCUAAGAACUAGUGUUUUCAUUCUCAAGAUUAAAUUAACGCAGAAUGAUAAUAUUAAUCAUCAUUUCAUCCAAUUAUCCUCUACAGUUACAGAACAAUUGAAACACAAUACACACAUUCACUGCCAUUUCUCAAAGAAUUCAAACACAUUUCUAAUAAUUUAUAUAUUUUUAUAAUUAGAACCUUUUACGGAGUCAUAUUACGUGUAGAUCUACUCGACUCACUACAUCUUUUAAACGUAAUUAAUCAUUCGAGUAAAGGAACCAUCGAAAACAGCCAGAUCCCUACUUAACUUUUAAAAAUCACCGAUCCGUUCAUUUACGUCAAGUUAAAAUCUCAAAACCUCUUAAAUGAGAAAAAAAAGAUUCAAACAAAAAAAACGAUCUAAAACGUUAAGAUUCAAUGCAUGUAAAUUGAGUAUUAGAAAGCGGGGGGAAAAUGAGUGAGAAAGAGUUAACCAUCGAAGCGCUCUUCGAAGAAUACUUCAGCAGAGGCAAUGACGAAGAAAGAGACAAGAAUUAGAAAGAUAAAAUUAGGGAUCGGUUUAGGAAUCGCCAUAGCUGAACUCCACGGAGCGAGAAUGUAGAACUGCAGUGCACUGAUAGUCUGAUGGGUUGUUUAGGUACCGUUUAUAUAAUACUCGUUGCGUUUCAAUGGUUUUCUUCCUUUUUACUUUUUACGGCCCAGUUAAAACGAGGUAUUAUUAUUUUCGGUUAAUAUGACGUGGACUGAAGUUAAUGACUGAAGCCAAUGGCUUGAUGACAUGUCAUUCACUUAUUGACGUGGCAAAAACUUAUUGGCUAGGAAUUUCACGUGACACGUAGGAGGAUUUUGCCUCGUUAUGCUAGGAGUACGUUACGGCUCAUUUCAGCGGAAUUGUGUUACAUGUGGCAAGCAGGCAAUGAUCCACAGAACUGUAGAGGCCGUCCACCUAGACGUUAGUUUGAGGCGUAGCAGCAGAUUAUUUACGUCUCUUAAUUGGUCUCUAAUUAGCGGUUGGGUUUCAGUUUUAUCAUCUCGAAACUUCCAUUAUAAUUGAUGGCAUCUAUUGGUAAAAGAAAAUUUGUAAAUUUGUUUAGAUACUUACGUUUUAGAUAGAUACUAAAGGUGAAUUUGAGUCUAGUAUUAUGAGAAAAUAGCAUAGAAUUAUGCAUAAAAAUAUUAUUUCCUUUAAAAAAAAUUUUCAUCUCAAAUCGAUGUUUGAAAAAUUAAAUCUUAAAUAUUUUACUUGAUAUUUAAAAAAUAUUUUUAUACAAUAUCUAAAAAUUAUUUAUAUCAUAAUUUAAUUCUUAUUAACAUAAUAUUUUAUAUUUUAAAUAAAAGCUAAAUAUAAAAAUUAUUUAUAUCAUAAUUUAAUUCUUAUUAACAUAAUAUUUUAUAUUUUAAAUAAAAGUUAAAUAUAAGUCUUGAUACUUAUUUGAUAGUUAUCGGUACUUAUAAAAUAUAAAAUUGAUUUAAAAAGGUUUACAACAUUUUGAAAGUUUAUAAUGUUAGGCCUUUAGAAACAUGAUUUUAUGUUUUAUAACAUCUGAAAAUAUUUUAGGUAUUAUCAAAUUAAAAUUUACAAAUUUGAUUAAUGAAAUUUAAGAAUUAUUUUAAUAUAUCAAAACUAAAUUAAUUCUAUCGUUAGAUAUUCAUUGAAAAAUUCAAUAGAGUAGUUAAAUUCAAAAUUUUUAUUCGAUUAAAUUUAAAUUUAAAUAUAAUUUAAUUCAUGUUGACGAUAAAAAAUAAAAAUUUAAAUUCAAAAAUUAUUCCAACUCAAAAUAACUAAGUAAAGUAAUCCAACAUUACUUGAACUAAGGAAAAUCCAAUUUUAAAAUCUCAACCAACAAAUUUCAAUAAAAAAAUCAAUAACAACUCAAAAAAUAUAAAAUUCAGAAUCACUAAUCUUAAAUUAGUCUAAUCCAAAAUUAAGGGUGGGUUUAAAAAAUUGAAAUUUUAAAUGCUAAAAAAAUUAAGCAUUGAAUCUGAUAAGUGUUGAAUUCAUAUUAUAAAAUUGUUUGGUAAAUUAGUAAAUAUAAGUAUGGAGUAUAAUUAUAUUGAUUGAUAAAAGUAAAUAUUGAUCUUUAAAAUUUUAUUUAUUUCUUAGUUUUAAUCUUAUAAAUUUAAUAUCUUAUAUUAAUUUGGAUAGUGUUGGAUAAAAACAAAUAUGGUAAUUUGAAUAUUUCUUUUUUUAAAUGAUAUUUUUAAUAAAAUAAAAACAAAUGUAAUGUUUUAUACAUUAAAUGAUAAAUAACUACUUAUCUAUUAAUUUUAUUCAAUAUUUGUUAUUGAAAAUUUUAUAUUAUAUAAAAAUUAAAAUAAUUAUCAAACACAACUAAAAAUUUUGAGUAAUUUAUGAAACACACCCUAACUUCAAUGUAUUUAAUAUAAAGAUAAGAAUAAUGUCAACGGAAUAGAUGGAGUACUUGGGGUUUAAACGAUAAAAAUUGGAUAUUCAAAUUUCAAUGGAAAAAAAAAAGGAGUAAAAGUGCUACAAUUUAUUUGAAGAUAUUAAAAUUGGGUAACUAAAGGCAAGAGUUUAGAUGAAUUUGAAAAGCAAGCCUCCAUGAGCCGCAAAGAAAGGAGCAAACACCAAUGACUCAACCGCCAUGAGCUUAAUGAUCAGGAUGUUGAGCGAUGGACCAGAUGUGUCCUUGAGGGGAUCCCCUAUUGUGUCUCCUAUCACUGCAGCCUUGUGGCAAUCUGAACCCUUUGGACCAAGUGACUUUGCAUGCUCACUACCCCCUGCCUCUAUAUAUUUCUUGGCAUUAUCCCAUGCUCCUCCUGUGUUGGAUGCUGAGAUGGCUACCUGCACACCCGACACAAGUGAGCCAGCUAGAACACCAGCUAGUGUUUCGACUCCUAAGAAGGUUCCGACAAUGAGUGGAGUAAGCAUAACAAGUGCACCAGGUGGAUCAUUUCCCUGAGUGAGGCAUCAGUUGAAAUCUUUACACAGUUUGCAUACUCUGGUUUUGCCGUGCCUUCCAUUAGUCCAGGAAUUGAAUUGAAUUGCCGACGAACCUCUUCGACCAUUUUGAGAGCCGCACUUCCAACGCUCUUCAUUGUCAUGGCUGAAAACCAGUAGGGUAGCAUGGCUCCAACUAUUAAGCCAAUGAAAACCUUUGGUGUCAAUACGUCAACUGACUUGAUGCCUGCUCGGCUAACAUAGGCACCGAAUAGAGCAAGAGAUACGAGUGCAGCUGAGCCGAUCGCAAACCCCUGAAAUUUAAUAAUAGAAACAUGCAAAAAUACUCAAGGACCAAAAACCAAUUUGAAGAAUAAAGAUCAUGGAAUCAACAUAAGCCGCUCACCUUGCCAAUAGCUGCGGUGGUGUUUCCUGCGGCAUCUAAAGCAUCGGUCCUUUCACGUAUCUUGUGGCUCAUUCCAGCCAUUUCAGCAAUACCACCGGCAUUGUCACUAAUGGGACCAUAAGCAUCUAUCGCAAGACCGGUGGAUAUAGUAGUAAGCAUCCCUAUAGCGGCCACAGCAAUUCCAUACAUUGCAGCCAGGCUAAAGCUCACAUAAAUAGAAAUCGAAAUGGCAAAUAUGGGAAUGAUGACAUAUUUGUAUCCCAGGGCCAACCCGAAUAUCACAUUCGUUGCAGCGCCUAUCCUGCAAGAAUCUGCCACAUCCUGCACUGGACUACAAGUAUUUGAAGAGGCAGUAAGCAUCAAAGAUGGGCAUAUCAAAGGCAUUGAUGAGUAACAUAUUGGGCCAGUUUUUCAUUGCUUUUGAAAAGUGCUGUGAAAAAGUGCUUUUAAGAAGUGCUUUUGAAAAAUUUGAGUGUUUGGUAUUGCUGUCAAAAAGUGCCUUUGAAGAAUAAAAUGUUCAUUUUAGACAUGAUAUUAUAAAGUAACAAAUAUGUCUUUAAAUAAUGUUCAAAUUAGUUAAUAUUAUGAUAUUUUAGCAAAAAUAUAAAAAAUAAUUUAUUAUAACUUAUUGUUAAUAUUUUAAUAUAUAAUAUUAAUUUUAAAUAUUUCUAAGUAAUUAAUAUUAAUUAUUUAUUAAAUUUAAUUAGAAUAUAUAAAUUAUUUUUAAAUAUUUAAAUAUAAUAAUUAAAUAUUUGUAAUUAGAUAUUGACACAAUUGUAUUAUUAUAAAAAUUAUUUUUUAUUUUUAAUUAAUGCUUUUAACACAUUUGUAUUAUUUUAUUUUAAAAUGUAUUUGAAUAUAUAACUCAUAUUAGAUAUUAACAUAACAUAGAAAAUAUAAACCUAACAAAUUAAAAUAUUACAUAUAUUUAGAUUAAAGUUUUAAAAAGGGAUAAUAUUUAUAUACCAAAUAUAAAUACUAAAAAUUUUACAAUAGUAUUUACAAUUUAAAGUGAAUUCAUUAAACUAGAAGCUAUAGCAUCUCUUGUUAAUUCCAUUUCAAAACCACUCGAAUUGUUUGAUUCACCGUCAUUAACCUUAGAUUAUAUUCUAGAUCCAAAUCAAACAAAGGAAUGCAGUUUAAUUAAGACAUCAACAAUUGAAAUGCAUUGAUCUAUGAUUAGAGUUAUUUGCUACGGACAAAACUUCAAUGCUACAGAAUUUAUCUAAUAUUUAGCCAAGACUUUUAAGUACAAUAUCAGCAGGGAGACCUUGAUGGUUUGAAAUACUUGUGGCCAAUAUUCUUUUAAGAAGUUAUACAAGUAUAAUUACAAAUAAUAUUGUAUAAAACACAACUUAACUGAAACUGAAAUAUAUCCUACUUGCGUCCAAUACAUAUCUAAAUAUGAGUAAAGAGAUAUGAUUCUCUAAAAACCCACCAAAUACAUAAGCCUCACUUUCACAGAACAUAUUUUGUUUAAAUCUAAACUUUAGGAUAAUAACAAUAGUUCAAUUUUUGGUGCAAAUCUCAGUAAAUUCAACAAAAGAAACUAAAAAAGGUAAAACACUUGCAAUUUGGCAUGAGAAUCACACAAAGCUGAUUGCCGCAAAUCAAUGAGGCGAAUUGAGCCCUUUGAACUACUAUAUGCUACCAUAUUACAGUGGGUAGGGUGAAACUCUGCUGAUGUUAUAACCUCUGCAAUGAUAGACAUUACAAUAACCAUUACUUUUGCAAAUAUAUUGAACAGCAGUGAACUUGCAUAUGCUUUAAGAAGUGAAAGCAAUAGACUAAAGUACCAAAAUAGAAUAGGCUUACCAGUUAGAUCCUCCAUGUUUGCAGGCUUUACAUCGACAAUAUUGAAACUUUGAUUGCUAAUUUCCAAGUUCCAAAGAUUUAUACUGGAGGACACUACUUCAACUCUGAUAACCUCCUUGAAAAAGUGCUUUCUUCUCAAAGCAUUGGUCAAAAGGCUCCUGAAAGAUGAAACAAAAGGAGGUCCACACAGAAUAAGACAUUAACUACGGCCUCGCAAAAACUACAAACUUCUGUGAAUUAGCAUACCUACAAUUUUUGGAAAUAGCUGCUUUAGCUCGUUCCAUAGAGAGACCAAGCAAAGAUGCUAAGUUUGCAACAUCAUUAGGCCCUCUAACUUCACAUACAGAAGGUGCAGCACUAGAAAGUAUGACAUUUUUUCCUCGAGUCCAAUCCAGCAGCAACUGGAAAGUAUGCUACAGAUAAUUAGUUCAAAUUGACAGCAUCCACUACUAUCUAGAACAACCAAAAUUGCAUCUUAUAAAGCAACUAAAAAAUCAUAACUGAAUCUCUCAAUUUUUGCUACUCACCAAUUGUUCAUAUCCUAGUUCAUCACCAUUUCAUCAGCUAUAAAUUUAUAUUUUAAUGCGCUAAAACACAAGAAUUAUUAGUGUCGAAACCCGUUUUUAUUUUGCAAAACGGGGAUCGACUUUGAAAAUGAAAAUAGGAGUCGCCACCGAUCUUUUAUUGAAAGUGUGAUCGAAUCACCUUGAAAACGAUUUUAGGUCUACGAAUUUUGAGAAAAUAGGUUCGGGAGUCGGUUACGUACGACGAAGGGUUAGCACCCUCGUAACGCCCAAAAUUGGUACCGAAUUGAUUGUUUAAUGCCUUAGUGUCGAGAAUUUGGAAAGAUUUUAAAAUACGAUCCUUGGAAAAGAAAAUUCGAAUAAAAUAAAUUGGAUGAUGAGACCCACUUAUUUCAAAAAAAUAAAUUGACACACUCAGUAAGUUAGAAUGCAACAUUUUAAAUCCUCGAAAUUAAAUUUAUCUUUUGACUUUUAAAAUCUAUGCAUUUGAGAAGGAUAUCCGAUUAUUUGGGUCAAAUGAAAAAAAUUAAAACCCAGUAAGUUAGGGUUCGAUUUCACAAAAUUCCUAAAUAUCGAAUAUUGCCUUUAUUUUCAUUUGUUAGAAAUCCUUGUCUCGAGAAAACAACAUGUCAUAUCCAAUGCGUUAGGACACAACGUAUUGAAUUCUCGAGAAUGAGCUUUUUAUUUGUGAUUUCUACGUUUAAAUUGAAAAAAAGGAAAUUCGGUUAUUUAAAUUCAACAAGGAGAAUUGAAGCCCAGUAAGUUAGGGCACAAUCCUCUCGAGAAUCUUAGAUACCGAGUAUUUGAAAACUUAUGGAUAAAUUGGUUUCGAUAUUUAAAACCCUUUAAACGAAAUAAAAUGUGAAUGAACGAUAAAUUAAACAACGAGGUGAUAAUUCGCAAGCUAAAACGCAUACUAAUGAACGCCAAUCAAUAAGUACAAGUGAGCAAUACAAAACACAUGAAUACCAUGAUUUCAUAUCACAUAUUAUACAAAUAUUAAUGACAAUAUUAAAAAUUGAAUUGAAAGUUAAUAUAAUGAUAUAAAAACAAUACCAUACAUAUAGAAAUAACAAUAAAUUAUCGUAAGUUAAUGAGAAGAUAUAAAAUAAUAUUAUAUGAGAGUUUUAUUUAUAUGAAGAACAACAAAUAAAAAAACACAACAAAAUAUAAAGGAGAAUUUUAUAAAUAAAAUGAAAUACGUUAAAAAUAUGACAAAUAAAAGUAAUAAUAAUACAGUAUAACUUUUAAGUAAUAAUACAUAAUAAUUUUAGAAUAAUAAUACACAAUAAUUUCAAAAAUAUGAAUACAUAAUACAUGAUGAAAAAAUAAUAAUGCAUAAUAGUUUAAAAUAAUAAUAUGUAGUAAACUUAAAAUAUAGUACAUAACAAUAUUAUACGUUAAAUCUUAUGUAUAAUAACUUUAAAGUAAUAUGAAGUAUAAAUAUUAAAAAUAAUAUUAGAUCUAAAAUUACCUAUAUUUAAAUAAUAAUGGGAUAACGAAUAUUUAAAAAAGAAAAUAUAAGACAACUUAAUAAGGGUCGAAUUUUAACUUAAAGCAGAAUUAAAGGUAACAAAUGGAAAUAAAUCAAAAUGCGGGGGCUGAAACGAGAUACGCGGAUAACAAGGGGACCCAAAAGGGAAAUAUUCCCGUCCCUGAAAACGCGGCACUUCGUUGUGGAUCAAAUCGAAACAAAAAUGAAAUAAAAGAUUAAAAUUGAAAAGGAAAUAAAAUAAAAAAGUAUCGAAUUGAAAUACUGUUACAAGGUGGAGGGGUCAUGGUUGCAAAUAACCCUCCCCUUACCAAAAAGCGCGGAUCUAGCCGUGGUUGGAUCGGGUCAUCGGGCAUGGUCGCUAAACGGCGUCAUUUGGGCGCUAAGAACCCUAGCUCAAAACGGCGUCGUAUUAUGUCAUUAUUUAAACUAAAAUUUCCUAAAAAAAAAUCAUUUGCAGCUUAUAGUUUUAAAAAAAGAUUGCUGCUCCUCUGCUAGGGUUUCGGCCCUAGCCUUUGACACCUCUCCGCCGCCUCGAUUCCACCGUGAAUGGUGGUCGGAGCCUCACCUCAUAGGGCUUUUUGGCUCCUUUUUGCGCAUACUCGGAGGCAUCACGAGGUAAGGUUCCUCCUUUUUUUCUUUUAUUAUUCGCGUAUGUAUACAAAAAAAGAACGAAUCGAAAAUGGAAAAAAAUGGAAAAGCAAGACGAACGUUCCGAUUUACCUCAAACUUUUUUUUUGUUUUGUAUUUCAAUGUCCCUCCCUGUUUACAAUGCAUAUUUGGCUUUUAUAUAGACAGAAAAAUGAAAAAAUAAUUACGAAAGAAAUACGUUUCACUCCCUUUUUGUUUGCUGCUAUUUUCUAUCCGUAUUUUCUCUUUUAUGCUGUGUUUUCUGUCAUUGUUUGUCGCUAUGUGUUUGCUACGAGUUGUUGCAGGUGUACUGAGCAGUGGACGUGGAGGUGUGGUACGUGGCGGUGGUGCACGUGCGAGGUAUAGCUCGGAAGGGAUCUCGUGUUCGAUUGCGGCACGAUAGCUGCUAAGGGCUAGGGUUUCGGCUCUGUUUUUUUUAAUGUAAUGGGCCUAGGGUUAGUGAUUUAGGUUAGUGGGCUAGGUGCAUUGGGCCGUUUGGGUUUAAUUUUUAAUGGGCUGCAAAUUUGGGUUACUGUAAUUGGACUGUUAUGGACUGUUAUAAUUUUUGUUUGGUUUAUAUUUUUUUAUUACGGGCCGGGCAAAUUGGGCCUAUUACAAUUAGAACACAGCAAAAAAAGAAAGAAAGAAAGAAACAACUGUUCAAAAACAAUGCAACAAGCUCUGGAUUCCUCACCUUAGCAUUGGAUAUGAUUUGCCUCCUUUGAUGAACAUCCACAAUAAGAUCAUAAUAUGUUAUUUCAAAAUAUAUCCCACGCUGCGAGACCCCAAGAUGAAAUUAUCCAUUAAAACAAAUCAAAUUUUCAAUUUUGAAUGAGUAUAGAAAUCAAGUCAAUAACAAACCUUAAUAUAUAGCUGGUUUAACCAUAGGCAAUUUCAAUCGAAACGGCAACUUGUCUCAGAAAUCAAUUGAAAUUAUAUCCACCUAAAUCACAAAAAAAAAGAAGUUAAAACCUAUAUCUUUAAAAUUUUCUCCAUUGAAAUUUGAAUCAAUUAAUGACCUCGGCUUUUUCGCAAGCGUUAUCAAAUGCAUUUUGGUUCAACGGCCUAACGGCAACAAUGCUGUACGUCUUCAAUAUCGGGUUUCCCGAAUUUAAACCUUGUGACUGCGAUGCGGUAUCAAUGCAGAAGGUGAGGCGCAUGUAUUGGCGAAAAGGAAAGGAGCGAGGGACCCCGAGGAGGUCUCGGUGGAAGUUUACGGAAGAGGAGAGAAAGGGGGCGACAUUGAGGAGAGAGGAAAGACCAAGAAGAGGAAUCGAGCAUCGGUCGCGAUCAAACAUGACACCCCUGAUCGUACGGUUGUAGGCGAUACCCGUGUAGCCCAGCUCCAUCGCUUUGAUCACAAUUUUAAUGCGGGUGGAUUUGGCAACGGUGGAAUUCGCCUUGCUGAGCGGCUUGGAAUCCGUGUAUGGAAUGUUAAGGUCGAAAACCCCCAUAGGUUCUCAGACAGAGAUUAAACAGAAGAGGAACUAAUUAAACAGAAGAAGAAGUAAAGAAACUCUCACCUGCGGAAGAGGAACAAAGAAUAGGAAAUAGCUUUGAAAGCCGAAAAUGGGGAAAAAAUUGGGUAUAAAGCUCCAAUUUCACCAGCAGAGGAAAAAGAACGUUUGGGGAACCAGCAGAGGGGAAAAAACGUUUGGGGGAGAAGACAGGUUAAUUUGGUCAAUUAUCAUCCAAAAGCAGUUCAAGUUGAAGAAAAGGAGAAAUUUUUAGCUUCUUCAUCUGGAGAGAAACCCUUUUCUGAUGGUGAAAUUUUUACCUAAAAGGAGGCUAUUCUUCAUUCCGUUUAAGAGAAAAGGACUUUUUAUUGAAAAAGUCCUUCUCAACCGUGGAGAAGAACGGGGCCUUAAUGUCCUUACCUGUAAGCAUUGUUAGUAGGGGUGUUCAUUCGGUUAACCGACCCGAAAUUACUAUAACCGAAUUAACCGACCUUCCAAAAAUUUUAACCGUUAAUCGAACCGAUUUUUUUUUAAAAAAAUUAACCGAACCGAAAAUUUUUCGGUUAAUAAGGUCGGUUAACCGAAUUAACCGAAAAUUAUGUAUUUUUUAUUUUUGGUUAAAAAUUACCCGAAUUACCCGAAUUACCCGAAUUACCCGAAUUAACCGAAUUAACCGAAUUACCGAAAAAUACCCGAAUUACCCGAAUUUUUUUAUUUUUUAUUUUUAAAAUUUAAAAAAAUUAUAAAUUAUUAAAGUAAAUUGGGUUUUAGACUUUAGUAAAUUGGGUUGUCUUUUAGUUUUAGUUUUAUUGGAUUGGGUAAUUGGGUAAACUUUAGUUUUAGUUUUAUUGGGUUGAGUAAUUGGGUUGGGUAAUUGAGUUUGGGCUGGGUUGGAUAAUUUUAUUUAUUAAUUUUUUCAGUUAACCGAAAAUUUUCGGUUAACCGACCGGUUUCGAACCGAAUUAACCGUUAACCGAAAAAUCAUAAAAAAAUUAACCGACCCCGGACCGAAAAAAUUCGGUUAACCGACCGAUUAACCGAAUUUUUUCGGUUUUACCUGAAUUAUGCACACCCCUUAUUGCUAGUGUAAUAUUCUGUUUAAUGUAUCCGAUCACAAGUCCAGCCCACAAGCCAAUAGAAACACAGAAGAAAAGGUGCCUGCAUGGUACAUAAAUUGUUAAAAGCUGACCGGAACCUUCAAAUGAAGAGAAAACAGUUUACAGUUUGCUUACUAAUUCUUCACUUCCUUCAUAGCUCCGAAAUCGAAGAGAGUGAACUCUGAUGGCCAUGCAAAGAAGCUGACCAUGGCAAUCCCAGCAGUCAUCAGGAUGGUGGAGAUAAGGAGUUGCCGUUUCAAGGAUGGUUCGAUUUCUCUUACAUUCUUAAUCUCAAACAUAUCAGUUGCAAAGAGUGUAGUUAUCAAGCAAAGCACGAUUCCCAUUGAGCUAAUGAUCAAGGGGUAAGACAUUGCUGUAAAGUCGUGAUUGAUACCAAAGGAUGAUAUGGAUGCAACAAAAAGAGCUGCACAUGAUGAUUCAGCAUAAGAUCCGAAUAAAUCGGAACCCAUGCCGGCGAUAUGUCCUACAUUAUCGCCCACAUUAUCAGCAAUAGCCUGAAUAAAAAUUGUUCAUCGUUUAGAAUAUAAGUGGCAUAAGACUCAGAACUAAUUAUUGGAAGCUAAACAACAAACAGAACUUAUUCCAGGCUAAUAGGUUUAGGAACUGUGGGAACUCACAGCUGGAUUUCGUGGAUCAUCUUCAGGAUAUUUCUCUCGACUUUACCGACAAGAUCAGCACCGACAUCGGCUGCUUUUGUAUAUAUUCCUCCCCCAACUCUUCCAAAGAGAGCCAUAGAAGAACCACCAAGACCAUAACUAGUAAUAGAUUCAUAAAGUCCCUCCCAGUCAUCACCAUAGUACAGUUUAAACAAAUAAAUGGAUACAUAGAGAACCAAAAGCCCAUUGGCUGCAAGCAGGAAACCCAUGACUGCUCCCAAGCGAAAAGCAAUUAUGAAUGCCUUUCCAACAUCCUUCCUUGCCUCUAGAGUUGUUCUAGCAUUGGCAUAAGUUGCAAUCUUCAUCCCUAGAAAACCUGAGAGAACAGAAGUAAGAGCCCCAAGCAAGAAAGCAAUCGUGCUAAACACGGCAUUCGCCAGGGCCGGUUUGCAAGUAUUUCCCUGGUUAUAUAUGCAUGGUUCACUUUUGGUGGUGAACCCCUUAACUGAACCAAGGAAGAGGAAGAUGAUGACACCGAAUACACCCAUGAAGAUACCGAGGUACUUGUACUCGGUAAAGAGAAAAAAGGUUGCACCUGGGAACAUUGACAUUUUUAGUAGAACAUAAUGGAUGAUAUGAAUCGAACUUUAUGUUAAAAACACCGUAAAUACUGAUAAAAGGAGCAAUUGAAAGAAAAGAGGUUACCAAGAGAAAUGGCAUGUUGAAUCUCAGCACACUUGAUAGAAACCUCAAUGUUGUCAAUACCCUCCUCUUCUUCAUCAGCUUCAAUCAGCUUUACUUUAUACCCAUUGCUUGAAUCAUGUGAUGAGACCUUCACCCUGGAGAACAAAAGCCACUGAAGCAAAGCAAAAUCAAUGCCCACCAAGGCAGCUACAGGUAUCAAAACCUGGGUAAGAGCCUCACUCGAUGCACCUAUUUCCACAAACUACCACUUAUCUCACUUUGUUUCUUGGCUUGUCCUAGCAAAAUAUAGCACAAACUGGUAUCUGGUUUUCGAAGCACAGUUUUGGAAAAGCUACAAUCUUCAGAAGUAGGCAAUCCAAAGUGGACCACUGAAAAUAUGCAAAGGGGUUGUUUUGAACGCCAGAUAGGACAAAACUUGUGUGUUUACGGGUUGUUUUGAUUAACAGUUUCGAGUUUUGUCUAUGUUAGCACAUUUCAUGUUGCAAAGUUGUUUUUUUGUAUUUUCAGGCUAUAGUUAACAUUUUCUUUGAUGGUUAUUUGAAAGACAAGCAUUAAUGGUUUAUUAUAUUUUCUUUUUCUUGACUUUGAUGAACAAAGACUUGGCAAUCGGUUUUUGAUAGAUUCAACCAGAUAAAACAAAGCAAUAUAUUCAGACCAGGAUGUGAAUGUCAAAUACGAUUAAGUUUAUUUUUUUAAAGUUUUGAUCCAUGGAAACUUAAUUCCUUAUAACCAUGAUAAAAAUAUUUUUUUUAAAAAUGAAAAAUCAGAAUAAAACAGAUAUCUACCUUGUGAAUAAUUAAAACAGAUUGCUUGAUUCCAUUUAAAAUUGUUAAUAUUGAACAUGUAGGUAACUCCAGUUGAUAUGCUUCAAACACCAACUAGGCAAUGUGCCAAAUUGCCAAUGUCAUUGCAUUUUGAGUCGUUAUCACUUAUUACUAUAUGAUUUUAAUCUGAGAAAAGCCAGUAAGCUAGUGGAUUCAAAGCAUGUUGAUAUCAAUUAAUUGUAGAGAUUUGGAUAUUGAUGUGCCAAAAAUUUCAAUCUCAAGAGGGUUGAAAAAGAAAAUGUGUUUUGUGUGCAAACUUUUACUUUGCUCAACCGUGAAGUUCCAUUGGUGGCAAAGCUUAGCAGUCAAUAUCUGCUUUGGAAACUGCAUUCCUCCAUCUAAAUGUUGCUAUAAAAUUGGAUGGUGAGAUCACAUGGAGUAGACUUUCCUUUCCUUGGCCUUGAAGCUUCACAUUGCUUGAGCUUAUCAGCUUUGAACUGUCAUUCAUUUGGAAUUUCAACUGCAAUUCUCCAUCUUAAAAAGAAUUAAAUAUUCUAUCUACAUGGAAAGAUGAUUAAAAGAUUCAAUUUACUUAAGAGAAUGUCCAUUUACUGCUCAACUUUGAAGAAAUCAUGUUAAGUCCUUCAAAUCUAUUUACCAACCAAAUUUUAAAUAAAAAAUAUAUAAUUAUCACAAUCAACAAUUUUGAGGCCUUGAGAACUUUAAUAUUUCAAGUUGGAGUUUUACUCUGUGUAAACCAUAUGUAGGGGUGAAGUCAAAUAAAUUUUUUUGGGUAGGGUCGGAAUUAAGUUGUAUAUUUUUAUGAGAGUUAAAAUGUAAUUUCAUAAUUUUAAUAAUUUAUAUUUUUAUAAUUUUAAAAAUACUAAAUCAAAAUUUUAUCAAUUUUAAGAUAUCAAGAUGUAAUUUUUAAAUUAAAAUUCUAUGAAAUUUAAAGGGUAAAAAUGAUGUCAAAACCAUUUCUAUUUUGGAAAAAAAUAAAAAUUAGUUGUUGAUGAAAAUUGGAGUCGCCACCAAUUUUUUAUUGAAGUGUGAUGGGAUCACCUAAAAAAUUGCUUUGGUCUACGAGUUUUAGAAAAAUGGAUCCGGGAGUCAGUUACGUACGAGGAAGGAUUAGCACCCUCGUAACGCCCAAAAUUGGUACCUAGUUAAUUAAUUAGUGUCUUAAUGUCGAAAAUUUAAAAAUAUGAUCCUUAAUAAAAACUUAAAAAACGUUACUUAUUAAGACUCUUAUCAUUUCGGAGAAAGAAAAUGUCACACUCAAUGUGUUACGGCACGACAUUCUAAUUCCUCAAAAAUGAAUUAGUCCAAAAUACUCGUGUAAUAAAAUUUAAAAGAAUAUUCAUUUGUUUAAGAUUUAUAAAGAAAUCGCGACCCAAUACAUUAGGGCACAAUUUCUCAAAAUCCUAAACUUGUAAUAUUUCCUUUGUUAUUAUUUUUUUUAAAAAAAUCUUUGUCUCGAGAAAUCAAUACGUCACAUUCAAUACGUUAGGAUACAACAUAUUAAAUUCCCGACAACAAGCUUUUCAUUUUAUUUUUUGAUUAAUGAGCAAUUCUCGAUUGUUAGGUUUAACGAAGAAAAUUGGAACCCAAUACGUUAGGACUCAAUUUCCUUGAAAAUCCUCAAUACGAAUAUUAUCUCAAUUUUGAAAUUUUUAAAAUCGAGUAAAAAAAAUGAUGUAAUGCUACAUUAAGUGUAAAAUACAAUAAUAAAUACAACAAUGGCAUAGAAAUAAACGAAAUUAAUGUACAUAAAAAACAACGACAUGUAAAGUAUCAAAUGAACAAAAUAUAAAUGAAAACAUAAAUCAAUAAGCAAUGAGGAAUAACAAAAAAAUAUAAAGAGAAAAAAGGUACAAAAUUAUAAUCCAUGAAAUUAUAAAGAAUAAAAGACAUACACAUGGGUUUACAUUAUAAAAUUUUGGACUAUAGAAUUUAUACAAAAUAUAUAUAAUGCAUUUAUGAAAAUAAAGAAAAAUAUAUAAAUAUACAUAUAUAUAUUAUAACAUAUGUGUUGAAAAUAUAAGUUUGUAUUUAAGCAAAUAAAAAACAUAGACAUGUGCGUAUAUAUAUAAAAAUAUUCAUUAGAAAAAUAUAUAAAUACAUACAUGUACAUAUAUACAAAAGUAAAAAAAAAUUGAAACUAAAUAUAAAAGUAUAUAUAUGUAUAUAAAAGUUAGGAAGAAAAAUAAAAACAAAAACAUAUGUAUAAAAUAUAUAUAAGCAUAUGUAUACUAUAUAUAAAACAAUAUAUAUUACAUAAAAACGAUGCAUGCGCAUGAAUAUAAAAAUAAAAAUAAUAAAAAAAUGAUAAUAAUAAUAAUAAUAAUAAUAAUAAUAAUAAUGAUGAUGAUGAUGAUGAUGAUGAUGAUGAUGAUACAAGAUUAAUGAUGCCACAUAAUAGUAUUAAUAAUAUUAAAAUAAUUAAUUUAAUAAUAAAAAAACUAAAAUAACAAAUAGAGGAUUAAAUAACAUCAACAAUCAAAGACCAAUGAAUUUAAAACAAAGAGUAUAAAAAAAAAUAUAAGGCCAAAUAAAAUGUAAACAAAUUUGAAAAUAAUGAAUUUGAAAAUGAAUAAUAAGGGAAAAAGAGAUUUGAAAUCAACAAUAUACAAAUCAAUAAAUAAAUUAUACACAAAUCAACAAAAUAAGAACGCAAGAGAGAGAGAAAUUUGAGUAAAUACUCUUAAGAAUUAUUAUUACUCCCCCCUUUCGUCCUUUACAAUGAAGGGAGAGGCAUCUAUUAUAGUUGAGCCUCCCCAAAUCCAACGGUAUAGAUUAAUUACAUCAACGACUAAGAUUAAAAGGUAUCUACAAAUUAAAUCUCUAAGAUUACAAAAUCAUAUCUUCUAAGAUUGCAUAUCAUAUCUAAGAUUAUAUAUCAUAUCUAAGAUUGCAUAUCCUUGAAUAUUAUGUUUCCAUAUGCAUCAAGCUUGUAGAUAGACCUUCAACCUUUUCAAGUAAUGGGCCAUCCCGAUCGGGCCAAAUGAUAUAAUUUUGGAUUUUGUUUUAUUAUUUUAGGGGUAUUAUUUUUUAUGAGCCUGGGCUAAAUUGGCCUAUUACAAAUGAAAUUUUACAUUUUUAUGGAGUCAGGCCCCUGCCAUUGCCUUCGCCUUGAUCAUAUGUGAGUUUAUAUAUAUAUAUAUAUAUAUAUAUAUAAUCUCUUAACUUCAAAACACACUUUGAAUCACUCGAUUUCAAGUUCGGUAGCUCAAGUUAUGACCGUUUUAGUGAAUAUUGUGUAAGUAGAAUUUCUGGAUGUAAUUAUUACGAAAAUUAUGAAUUAUAGAUUUUUAAUUCGAGUUUAAAUCAUAUUGAGUUUGUUUUUUAUGCUUAAUUUUUAUUAUAUAUGAGCUCAAUAUUGUAUUUAUCAGGUUUUAUUAUUUUAUUCUUUAUUUAUCUUGAAUUUUGGAUAUUGUUUAAGUAUUUUAAGUUGUUUAGGAGUUUUAUGUUUCUUAGUCAAAAAAGAAGAUUAGUUUAAACUACUUCUUAUUUAUAUUAAUUAGAGUUUCAGUAUACUUCAAUGUUCAUUAAUGACACAAUUAUUUUUAUCAAUAAAGUUUUCAACUCUAAGAGUUACUUUCUUUGUACAAGAUUUCUGUAACACCCCUAAAAUUGAUAUAUAAUAAAAGUAGUAACAAAUUGAAUAAUGUAUAAUUGAUUUUUCGGUAAAAUGAGAAAAUAAUAUAAAGAUGAUAAAAAAGAAGAUUGAGGAGUAUUUAAAAAAAUUAAUUAAAAAGUAGGUUUUAGUAUAUUGAUUUAAAGUAAGGACUAAAUCAUAAAUAUGGGAAAUUUUUUUGGCUCAAGUGUAAAAAUGAGAAAGUUGAAGGAUCAAAAUUGAAAAUAGCCCAAUUUACUAUGAUAUGGAAUUGACAUGCAGGGACCAAAUUGAAUAAGUGAAGAAUUGUGAAGGACUAAAUUGCAAUUUUGCCGAAUUAAGUGAUGAUUCAAUAAUGAAAUUUUGAAAAAUCAUAAAGGGCAAAAUGGUCAAUUAGUAAGAGGAAGAAUUCUAGAAUGUAAUGAUGAUGUUGAUGAUAUUUUUGUGAUAUUUUUAAUUAAUUAAUUAGUUAAAUAUUGUUUUAUUAAUUUUACUUAGAUAUUUAUUAUUACUUUAUUUAGAAAAUGAUAGUAUAAAAAGAAAGGAAGGAUGGAGAAAAUUAAUCAUCCUUCCAACGUGAGUAAGAGGGUGAGAAAGGAAGUUUUCUUUUCUUUACAAUUUAGUAAUUUACCAUGAAAAUCCAUUUUUUAAUCCAAAUUUUUUGAAAAUUUCCUUAGACGUUAAAGAGAAAAGAUGAAGCAAAGAUUAUAGAGAAUAUGUUCAUCAAAUUAGAAGUAAGAAAAUAGUAGAUGAAAGUGGAGAAAAUGAGAAGAAAAAUGAAGGAAAGUGGUGAAGAUGAGAAAUGAAUGGAAAGGAAGAAAUUCUUGACAAAGGAGGUAAGUUUCAUACUAACCCUACUUGUAUUUCAAAAGGUUGAGUUAAAUAUGUUGUGAAUGAGAUGUAUGAAACAUGUAUUUAAUCUAAAUACUAUAAAUAGAAAGUAUUUUAUGAAGAAUACAAACAUAAAACACUAAAUUGGUAAGAGAGAAUGAGAUUUAUAUUGUGAAAAAUACUAAGAUUGAGAAAUAAAUAUGUAAUCUAAACAUAAAAAUAAGUAAUUAAAUUGUAUAGUAAUCAAAAUUAUGGUAAUUAUGUGUGAUUGAAUGAAAGAUAGUGCAAAAAGACCAUGAAAAAGAAAAUAUUUUCAUUAAAACAGUUUGAAUAGCAACAAUGAAUUAACUUUGAAAAUUCACAAAAAAAUAAUAUAAAUUUACUUAGAGGUGUAAUUAAAUAUGAAAUUAAAGCUUAUUGAGUCUAGUUUUGUAUGGAAGAAAUGGUGAAAGAAAAAGAAUUGUAUAUUUUGAGAUAUAUUAGUUUUCGUGAAAUAAGGUCGGAGUGGAUUCAGGUUCCCCUAUUCUGACUUUGAAAAAUCAUCAAACAAUUUUAAAAAACUAUUAAGGAUUGCAAUUUGUAUUUUUAAAUUAUUAAUGAGUUCAUCUUCAAGAGAAACAAACAAAAACAUCAUCUGAAUCUCGUACUAAGAGAUAAUUAAUUUUUAGUAAAGAUUCAGGUUUGAGAUAUAUUAGUUUUCGUGAAAUAAGGUCGGAGUGGAUUCAGGUUCCCCUAUUCUAACUUUGAAAAAUCAUCAAACAAUUUUAAAAAACUAUUAAGGAUUGCAAUUUGUAUUUUUAAAUUAUUAAUGAGUUUAUCUUCAAGAGAAACAAACAAAAACAUCAUCUGAAUCCCGUACUAAGAGAUAAUUAAUUUUUAGUAAAGAAAUGUCGAAGUUAUCAAGCAGCAAAAUAUGGAAAAUUUUGAAGAAUUUAAUGUACUGAUUGGCUAAAUUAGAAAUUAGAAAUUAGAAAUUAUAAAAAUUUUGUGGUAAAAAGAUAUUUGAGUCUAGUUUCAAAAAUAUCAAGCAGAUUUUAAUUUCAAAUUUUGUGGCUCGAUAUAUAAAUACUUUAGUGACUAUGACACAAGUGGACAACUUUGAUAUGAACACAUAAUUAAGUAGUGAAAUUAUAGUUAAUAGUACAUAUAAGCAUGUCAUACUAAAAGCUAAAGAUUCUAAUAUAUAUAUAUAUAUACAUAAAGGAUGAAGAAUGAAAAGGAUGUAAUAUCUUGUUUUUAGUGAUGUCGGAAACAGUGGUUUCGAGACCACAAAUCUAAUGAAUGAGUCUAUAAUUAUUAUUGUUUAAUUCAUAUGAGUCAACUAUAGUUUUAUAUUGAAUUUUGAUUUGAUAAAUUUUUACUAAUUGAACAAAUAGUUAAGUACAAGUGGUUUGUCCUGAAAACGAGUGAUUUUGAAAAAUGAGGUAUCGAGACCUCGUUUCGGUAAACUGAACUCGUAAAUAUUUUAAUAAAAUAUUUACGGAGUUAUUAGAUAGGUAUAUUGAAGUUUGAUCCAAAAAUUUUAAUGUUUGGCUAGUUAAUUAAAGAAAAGGGACUAAAUCGUAAAAAAUGUAAAACUUAGUGGCUAUUGAAUUUUAAUGAUAAAAUGGCUUAAUUAAUAUAAGUGGAAGUAAUUAUAAGAGAAUAAUACCUUCAUGUAUAUAUAUAGUGGACGGUGAUGUAUUUUGAUUAAUUUUAUAUGUUAAUUAUAUGUUAUUAAUAAUUAUAAUAAUAAGUAAAAAGAAAUAUAAUAAUAAUAACAAUAAUAAUAAUAAUAAUAAUAAUAAAAAUAAUAAUAAUAAUAAUAAUAAUAACAUUAUCAUCUUUCUUCUUCAACUUAACAAAUCGAAACACCAUGGAUAAACAUUCAAAAAGCUUCAGUCAAAUUCUUUACUCUUACAUGGUGUGUAAUUUUGAUCCGUUUUUAGUAAUUUUUAUGUUUUUGAAAUUGUUGCAACUAGGUCCAACUAACUUGUAUUUUCAUUUUCAAAACUAUUAAAGUUUGUUAAAAUUACCAUCAAUGGUUUUUGGAUUUUCUUGAUAUUAAAUGGAAGAUUUUGAAGCUUGGAAAUGUUUUAGGACUAUUUUGUUAAGUGAAUUUUGUUAGUUUUGCACUUAAAGACUAAUAUGUAAAUAUGUUAAACUUAGCAUGAAAAUAUUGUAAUUUUUAAGUGAUUGAGGCUGAUUAUGGAUGGAAUUAGAAUUGUUUAUGUGUAAUGGGGCUUAAAUGUGAAUUUUUUAAUAGUUUCAAUUUUAGGGACUAAAUUGAACAAAGUAUAAAAGUUUAGGAAAAUUUUGUAAAAUGGAAAUUAUAAGUCAUAUACAUAAAAACAGAUAUGAUAAUUUAUUUUAAUUUAAUAAAUUAAAUUUAACUAUUAUAUAGAUCAAGGAUGGAACCAUACGAAGGAAAAAAGGGAAAAUUGUAGAAUAGUCCCAACAAACAAAUUUAUCUUGCUAGUUGUAUUAGGUAAGUUCAUAGAAUAGAUAUAUGUUUAUAUGUUCAUUUAUAUAUUUUUAUGAAUUAUUUAAUUAAAUUGUGGUUGAAUUUUUUAAUAUUGAAUUGAGGACAUUAACUGUUUACGGUUGAAUGUAAGCUGAGUGAGAUUUACUUGAAAUAUGAUGAAUAUAUAUAAUUUAUAUGUUUCGGAAAGAAAAUAAUUGAAUAACAGCAUGUGUAUGGGAAUAUUUCUUGAAGUGCCACAAAGUUAUAGUGUUAUGAAAUCCGUUAAAUGCUCGUUUGAACGUAGUAAACGAUUAGGAUACGAUUGACAUGCCAAUAAAGUUAGAACGCACACUUGUACGGGAUUGCACAUAUGUGCCUCUGUUUGCACUUUGGUGUCUUUGUAUGCACUUUGGUGCCUUUGUAUGCACUUUGGUGCCUCUGUUUGCACUUCGAUGUCUCUGUUGGCAUUGCCAUGCUAUGUGGUGUGUUAUAGGUACCCAAGUAUCCAAAUUAAGUUACUAUAGUUCAUCGGGCCAAAUGUUAAAUGGAAAUAUAUGGAUUGACUUCAUGAAUUGCUUGGAAAUGUUAUGUUUAUACUAAUAUUGAAAUGUUAACUAAUGAAGUUGCGUAAGUGAUGGUUAUAUGUUCAAAAGAUGUUAACGAUAUCAAAAUGAUUAGAAAGUUUAUAGUUUAUAUGUAUGAAAUGCUCACUUUGUAAAUGUGAUAAUGGUGACAGAAUUAUAUAUUUAAAAGAAAUGGUAUAUGAAAGUGAAUAUGAAUUGACAUGAUCAAUAGUUUAAUAUGAUUUAUAUGUUGGUUCUUUCCAAUUGAAUCAUACGGAAAAAAGUAGUAUUGAAUGAUUGAGAGAUUAUAUGAUUCAUACGUGAAAUGCUCACCUUAUGAUUGUUAAUGUAUUAACAGGAUAUCAUAUUAAAUUAGUUAUAUCUAUUUACUUAGCUGCAAAAUGAGGUAAGAGUUUUGUCUAAAUACCUAUGAACCUACUCAACUUUAUAAGCUUACUCUAUUUCUUCGCAUGUUUUUUGUAGUUGACGUUUUGUGGAAAUAGGCAGUUGGAUCAACUUCAAGGCUUAUACUAUCAAGCUUUAGUCUCGGUAGAUUGAGACUCGUUUAUUCUGGUUUUAUGGUAUGUAUAUAAGUGAUCUUUGGGUUGUUGGUUUGAAGUUAUAAGUUGAAGUUGUAUUGUACUAGAAUGGUUUCCUUGUAUAAGGUUGAAUUUAAAGAUUCUUAUGGUAUGCUUAUAUAAUAUGUGACGAAUGCAUGGGUGGUGAUAGUAUGCUUGAUCUUGGUUCAUGAAAUAAUUGGAAAAAUGGUAAAUCUUGAAUGAAAUGUAUGGUAUAUGUGUUAGUUGAUAGUGUGAUUUAUGCAUCUAUUGGUUUAAGUUGUUUCAUUGAUAUGGUAAGCGUUGAACAUGUAAAUAGGGUUUUGAUAUGUAUAUGUUAAUGACUAUUUUGGUAAUGCUUUGUGCCAUUUGAAGUAUAAAAGGUGUAUAUAGAUGUAAAUCUCAAAUGGUAUUAUGGUAGAUUGUGGUGUGAAAUAGAAAUGCCAUGUUUUGGUAUUUAAAUGCAAUUUGAAUGGUUGUUUUGGUAUAAAUGUUUUAGGUAACUUGGUGGUUUUGGUCGAUAAUAUGCUAGCAAUGUGAAUAAUGGUGUAAUGUGUUUGAUUUGGUAUUGCAUUCAUGGAAUGGAUGGUAUAAAUUGCUAAUGGUUAAUGCUUAAAAUGGUUAUUAUUUUAAUGUUUGAAUUGUGCUGCUAAUGAGGGCAUAUUGGUUAGGCACUUAGGCUGAAGGUUGUUUGGUAUAUUUUGGCAUGUUUUGAUGCAUUUUGAAUAGGUUUAAGGAAUGGUUAUGGUAUGGUUUGGGACUUAAGGAAUUGUAGGUGAAAUGACUUGAUUUUUGAGGCACUUUUAGGUGGCCACGGUUAGCCACAUGCCCGUGUGGUUCUUUAAAUUUUUUGUGUAGGUUUGUCCACAUGGGCACAGGUUGCUACACAGUUUGGCAACACAACCAUGUCUCUGCACCACACGGGCUGAGCCCUGUCACACGACGUGACCAUGUGACACUUGUUUUCAAUUUUUAGCCUAUUUUCAUAUUUUGGUUCAAUUUAAUCCUUGGCAUUUUUAAAUCAUUUUAAUGCUUUUUAGGUUCAAAUUAAGUCUUGCUUGAGUUUGAAUAACAUGUUUAUUGAAUGAAAUUAUUUAUGAUUGAUUUAAAAGUAAAUUUUUGAAUUGAAACAAAUAUGUUUUUUUUGUUAUAUGUUGUAACUUUUCGUAACUCUAAUCCGAUAACAGAGACGGGUUACGGGUGUUACAGAGGAGGAGGGGGAAAAUAGUAGAUGAAUUUGAAAUGUUACGAAAUGAUUAUAAGUGAUGGAAUGAUUAAUACAUGUGAAAAUGUUUAAACGAAUCGAUAAAAUAGUAAGUGAAUAAUUGUUAAUUGAUGUGAUUUGGAAUCUUGACUAAAAUUUUAUGAAGAAUUAAAUUAAUUGGCACAAAUUAGAAAUAAAUAAGAAAUAUACAUAAAGUGAGUAAACUACUUUAGAAAGUGCAAGUCCUCCAAUGGGCUUAUUUGUAAAACUUUCAAAAUUGUGUUAAUUUAUAAACUUUGUUAUCUUUGAUUGAAUAUCAUGUUUAAUAAGCUCCUUUAACUCAUAAAUAAUUUUUUUUAUAAACUGAAUUAUUACUAAAACGAGUAUAGUGGUUUUCAAUAAUUAAAUAAUAAGAUAAAUCAAUCUAAAAUUUUUGUAGUUGCUUCGGCAACAAAUGUAAUAUCCCGGUACCUUGACCCGGUGAUUGGGUCGGGUAUAGGGGUUUUACAGUUUCAUUCUUGUGAUUUUUAGAAUUAGUUUUCUUUGUGCAAGAUUUAUUUCUUGUGAUUUUUAGAAGUAGUUUUCUUCUUGAUUUUCUUCAAGGAGUCGUGAGAAUUCAUUCUUCAUCCUUCAAUUCGCCAAGAAUUAUUUGUUGGAGGAUUGGUUAGAGCCAUUAAUUGAAUUUGUUUGGGUUUAUAUUCCAAAUGGUCCAAUUGUACACUUAUCUAUCUAUCCAUCACAUACAUCAGUUUAUUCAAUCCAUCUUCCACUUUUAAAUUUCGUUUAUUUAUUAUUUUGAAUAUUUAUUCUUAGUCUUAAAUUUCUUCUUUUAGUGUUUUCGUUUUCUUUAAUUUCUAAAUUUGUUUAUUUCUUCUUUAUAGGUCAAAUUUGAAUAUAUAAACAACUUGAAUACGAUCCUAAUCCACUUCCUCCGUUUAAUUCUCUAUCAUUUGGUAUCAAUUUUGGGCCUUUUUGAGUUAUUUCCUUAUGCAAUACAAUUUGUUUUGUUGAUUUUAAUUAAAUAGUUUCUAAAAAAAAAUUAAAAAAUAACUUUUUUUGGGAAGAAUUUUGUGCCUAGAAUUUUUAGAUAUGAUAUUUAUCAUAUAAAGAGACUUCAGUUCAAUUUUUGUGAUUUUAGCACAUCGAGAACACCUUGAACGAAAAAUUCAAGUUGUUUUCCAUUUUUCAAGUUUUCAGAUGGGUAGUUUAUUUUCUUUGAUUCUAGCAUUAUGUUUUCUUUUGUUUUAGAUUUUCUUAUUUUAUUAUGUAUUCUAACUCAUUUUGGUUUCUGGUGUUAAUAGGUAUGAAAAGGGUUGCCUCUCUUUUCUCCACGCAACUUACUUCCUUUGAAGUCAAAUUUUUCUUUGGCUUCUUAAAGCCUUAGGUCAACUUUGUUAUAGAGUGAUCCCACAUAUUUUUUAAUAUUAUUUAGUUUGAUUACUCUUUAAAAGUUACAAACGAGAAAAUCUUCUUUUCUUUUCCUUUUAGAGUUGUUUACUUUUAUUACGAAUGUAUAACAGUGAGGUUUAAUUUUCUUUUAUCAACUUUUUUUGUGUUUUUUCAUUUCAACCUCUAAUAAUGGUACGUACACAUUGUAAGGAUGAGGAGCAUGAUCCAUCCAUGCUUACCAUGGACCAACUUACAGCAAUGUUCGACGAACUUUGAAAAGAUUUCAAAGAGGUGCAAGAGCAUUUGGAAAAUAAGUUCGACACAUUACAAGCUCAAGUCAUUCAUCAUAAGACAAAUAAUAAACCUUGGGCAAGACAUAGAUGUCAUAUUUGUAAAAAACUUGCACGAACAUGUUUCUAAUGUCAUUCAACCUUCUAUUGUUCGUGGACUUGUAAAGAAAGACAUUGGUACAAAACACAUAGUAUCUUCUAUGAGCUUAAACGAAUUAUGGCAAAACAAAGAGAACGAGCUAGCAAGUGCAUGUGGUGUACUACAAAAGAUCAUAAAGCCUCUGAAUGUCCAACAUAUUCAUUUAAGAAAACAUCAUUGCAAGACGAGGAACAUAAGUAUGACAGAGCAUAUUGAGGAGUGUCUGUCUACUACUAUUGUAACACCUCAAAACCUGGCCCAAAAGUUUUGGUCGAAUUCCGGAAGUCACAUUGAUCACCGAAGUGAUCGUAGGAAAAAUAAAAAAAUUUAACAAUUGGAAAACAUUACAGUAUUUAAGUUGCAUAAAAACGCUCAGUUAUAAAAUCCUGAUAUUACAAAAUUUGCAAUCCAAAGAAAACCAUUUACGAAAAGCCCAAUUUAAAAUUGUACCACAGUUCUUAUAACUAUUUACAUUUCAAAACCAUUUACCAAAAUAACAAUCGAAAAGAACACUUUUAAACAUGUUUCCUUAUCGAGACUGUCCGAGGCCUCCGUGUGAGUUCCUGAAAGGGGAAACACUAUGGGGGUGAGCUACACGAGCUCAGUGUGAGUUUGAGACGUGACUAAUAACAGAAUUAUAGGAAAUAGUUCGAUAGCGAAACAUACUUACAGAGAUACACGAAAUCAGAAAGUAAACUCGGAACCAACGUCCUAACAGAACGUAACAAUUCAAGCACACCUUGUCACACAUAGACACUCAGUCAAAAAUGUCAAUCAGUCAAAUAGGAUAUAGACAAAUAAUCUACACCCAGUCACUUAAAUAGAUGCAUAUGAAUGCAAUCAAGUAAUAAAAGAAAACCCACCCGUCCAGCCAAAACACCUCUCCGUCUCCCGAUCACACCCUAAAAGAGCUGUUUAAGCUCAUCCAAUCAAACACACCACAUCGGACCUCAAAAGACCCAUCUAAUCCUACACAUCAUAUAUAUGGAUUGAGCCACUUAGAUAAUAAUACACAACAAGGCUGGCGUAUAUGCAAUACAGUGCAUUGCCGUAAACCACUGUACAGACAUGUUGCAGUUAAACUGCCAUAUCAGAAUCAGUCUUCCUUCUCUUCAUAACAAACCCAAAACUUACUUUAUGCAAAUGUAUGUAUGCUUACAACCUCACAGAAACAGCGAACACAUCAACAGAUAGUCAGAUAGAAACAAAUAUGCAAAUACCCAGCUAACUGGGUUCAAAUUCAAAUAUCUUACACAGCAAUCACAAAUGACACAUAAGUUAGAGCCCAGAUCAGAGUCUUAACUACCCUCACUAAAGCCUAGCCAAGGGUCAGAACACACAGACACAAUUUUAGAUAAAAGAACAUACACGAAACUAAAAUUGGUGACUUAGGGCCACACGGUCCUGUGGCUAAGGCACACGCCCGUGUGAGCUAGGGACAUGGCCGUCUGAAUAGACUGUGUAACUCUCUGUCCAAUUGUGCUAAAAUAUGGUUCAGGGCAGACACGAUCGUGUGUCCUACAAACACCCGUGUGGGAUCCCUAAAUCCCCAAAUUAGCCACAUGACCGUGUGGCACCAAAUCACCCAAACCCUAAUUCCUAAACACAGACGCCCAUAUGCCCAAGGGACACGACCGUGUGAAAAUUGACUAAUUUUCCCAAAUUAGCCACACGAUCGUGUGACACUUAACCCUACCCGAAAACCCUAAUUCUUAAUUCCACGUGGUUGUGUGAACAAGCACACGCUCAUGUGGCCACCCAUGUGGUCUCAGAACCACCUUGAAACAUCCUGCAAGCCGUGAAUUUACAAACCAAAUGCCCCCUAAACUCUAACAAUUCAGAAACAUGCCAUAGAAAACCAAGUUUCAUGCAACUUAGAAGCAAAACCUUCCACACAUUCACCAAACCACUUAGAAUAUAUCAAAUUCCACAUAAUCGAAAUAACAAAUCUUAUAUGGAGUUGGAGAGUUUCAACCCACACCUGAUUUGAAAUCCAAAAAGUCCAGACGCCGACUCGAUGACAAAAAGACUGAAGCUCUCUAAGAACCAUAAAAAAACCGUUUUCCAAAAGAAGAAAAGAAAGAAAGAAAAAAAAGAAAGAGGGACAAAGGAGAGGGAGAGGAGAACGUGAGAAAAAAGAAAGCAAUAAAUAAAAAUAAUAAUAAAAUAAUUAUUUUUAAACAUAAAACAAAUCUACUAUUUAACAAAAUAAAAAUAUUUCUUCAAAACACACAUAUAAGGAUUUGAACAUGCAACCUAGAGAUACACUAACACCAAACUAACCACAGACUUGCAGGCCCAUUCUGACAUCAAAAUGCGCAACUAAAUUCAAUAGCUCAUCCUACUCACUGACGCUAACCACAAAGCUAAAAACUUCUAACCCCAAAAUCCAGGGUGUUACAACUCACCCUUCCUUAAAGAAACUUCGUCCCAGAAAUUUCCAACUAACAGAACAGUGGUCUAACACAAGCUAUACGACUACGCUCUCGUUGCACACUCUAAAUUCGACCAGUACUAUACCAAACUUAUGACUUCAAACACAUACCUAGAACACUUCACCACUGAAACAGGUACACAUAUUAACAUCACACACACUCAAUCAUUAAACAAUGAAUAGUCGAACAAAUCAUCCUCAACAAAAACACACCAUGUCAACGUAACCUACACCCAUACCUAUCUUAAUGACGUUGAGGACACUCUCGGAUUCGAUGUUCUGUAGACCCACAUCGAAAAUAUGCUACCGCCUUUUUCCAAUAAUUUCCCAGAUGAUGCUUCUUACAAUGCUCACAAAACGAAGCGCUCGCACCACUACCAACACCCUCCGUAAAACCUUUAUUAUCACUCAAAUGUGUUCUCACACGCUUCACAGACCGAGGCUCCAACCUCGGAGGACUACGAUCUCUUUUCCUCCUACAAUCAACACACCUACUUUGCACUAACUCUUCAAGCCUCUCUAACCUAGCCUUAAACACUUAUUCUAUCACUUCUCUCACUACCUGAGUCAAUGCCUCAACACUGACCUCCAGGUUAUCGCUACCCAAAGUUGGUGGAGUCGCAUUGGCUUCCGAUUCCUGAAUAGUUACACGUCCCGUAAAAGUUAACGACUCCUCGAGAGUCUCGCCAGACUGAUCCUCGCUAUCUCCCUUACCUUCAGAAUCCAUACCGAUCUUCAACUAACUUAAAGUAAUCUACAUUUCACAAACAGUCACAACAUAAAUAUCUAUUGGGACAGUUCUAAUCUUAUAGUUGUGAAUUUCCACCCGGACCAGCAUUAGAGUCUCAGAAAUUUUAUUUUCACAAAAUCUUAUUCCAAAUACAAGUCAUUUCAAAACAUUGUGGUAUGGUUUUCUGAAUUUUUUUUAAAACGAACAAGCAUGCACUUGGUUAUGUAAAACACAGGCCAAGUUUUUGCAAACCUGGUUUUGAUACAACAAAAUGUAACAGCCCAAAACCCGACCUAGAAGUUUUCGCCGAAUUCCAAAAGUCACAUUGAUCACCAAAGUGAUUGUAGGAAAAAUUAAAAAUUUAACAACUGGAAAAUAUUAUAGUAUUUAAGUUGUGUAAAAACUCUCAGUUAUAAAAUCCCGAUAUUACAAAAUUUUCAAUCCAAAGAAAACCAUUUAAGAAUAGCCCAAUCUAAAAUUGUACCAUAGUUCUUAUAACCGUUUACAUUUCAAAACCAUUUACCAAAACAACAAUCGAAAAGAAGACCCUUAAACAUGUUUCCUUAUCGAGACUGUUCGAGCCCUCCGUGUACCAGGUCCAAGCUUCAGAAAGUGCGAGUAAGUAACUAAAAGGGGAAACACUAUAGGGGUGAGCUACACGAGCUCAUUGUAAGUUCGAGACGUGACUAAUAAAAAAAUUACAGGAAACAGUUCAAUAGUGAAACAUACUUACAGAGAUACACGAAAUCAAAAAGUAAACUCGGAACCAACGUACUAACAAGAUGUAACAAUUCAAGCACACCAUGUCACACAUAGAAAAUCAGUCACAAAUGUCAAUCAGUCAGAUAGAAUACAGACAAAUAAUCUACACCCAGUCACUUAAACAAAUGCUUAUGAAUGCAAUCAAGUAAUAAAAGAAAACUCACCGGUCUAACCAAAACACCUCUCCGUCCCCUGAUCACACCCCAAAAGAGUUGUUUAAGCUCAUCUAACCAAACACACCACAUAGGACCUCGAAAGUCCCAUCCAACCCUAAACACUAUGUAUGUGGACUAAGCCACUCAGAUAAUAAUACCCAGCAAGGCUGGUGUAUAUGCAGUACAGUGCAUUGCGAUAAACCGCUGUACUGAAAUCUUACAGUUAAACUACCAGAUCAGAAUUAGUCUUUCUUCUCUUCACAGCCAACCCAAAACUUACUUUAUACAAGUGCAUGUAUGCUUACAACCUUACAGAAACAGUGAACACAUCGAUAGACAGUCAGACAGAAACAGACAUGCAGAUACCUAACUAACCGGGUUCAAAUUCAAAUAUUUCGCACAAAACUCACAAAUAACACAUAAGCUGAAGCCCAGAUCAGAGUCUUAACUACUCUCACUAAAGCCUAGCCAAGGGUCAGAACACACAGACACAGUUUCAAAUAAAAAACAUACACGGAACUAAAAUUGAUAACUUAGGGCUAUACGACUAUACGGCUAAAGCACACGCCCCUAUGGGCAAGGGACAAAGCCAUGUGAACAGGCCGUGUAACUCUCUGUCCAAUUAUGCUACAAUAUGGUUCAGGGCGGACACAGUCGUGUAUCCUAACACACGCCCGUGUGGGAUCCCUAAAUCCUCAAAUUAGCCACACAGUUGUGUGGUACCAAAUCAUCCAAAACCUAAUUCCCAAGCACACAUGCCCGUGUGCCCAUGGGACACGGUCGUAUGAAAAUCGACUAAUUUCCCCAAAUCAGCCACAUGAUCGUGUGGCACCUAACCCUACCCGAAAACUCUAAUUCCUAAUUCCACGCUACCGUGUGAACAGGCACGCAGUCGUGUGAAUAGGCACACACUCGUGUGGCCACCCAUGUGGUCCCGAAACCACCUCGAAGCAUCCUGCAAACCGUGAAUUUGCAACAAAAGGCCCCCUAAACUGUAACAGUUCAAAAACAUGCCAUAGAAAACUAAGUUUCAGGCAACUUAGAAGUGAAACCUUCCACAUAUUCACCAAACCACUUAGAAUAUAUCAAAUUCCACAUAAUCGAAACAACAAAUCGCAUAUGGAGUUGGAGAGUUUGAACCCACACCUGAUUCGAAAUCAAAGACGUCUAGACACCAACUCGACGACAAAGAGACCGAAGCUGUCUGAAAACCACAAACAAAUUAUUUUCCAAAAGAAGAAAAAAAGAAAAAAAAGGAAUAGAGGAGAGAGAGAGGAGAACGUGAAAAGAAAGAAAGCAGUAAAUAAAAAAAACAAAAUAAUUAUUUUUAAACUUAAAACAAAUCUACUAUUUAACAAAACAAAAAUAUUUCUCCAAAACGCACACGCAAGGAUUCGAACACGUGACCUAGAGAUACACUAACUCUAAACUAACCACUAAACUAACAGGCCCAUUCUGACAUCAAAACGUACAACUAAAUUCAAUUGCUCAACCUACUCACUGAACCUAACCAGAAAGCUCAAAACUUCUAACCCAAAAAUCUAGGGUGUUACAGCUAUCAUUGACGAUGAUGAUAUAAAUGAGUAAGAAACUUCCAGUGACACCGUUUGUAAAGGCAGUAAGUGUGAUUUUGUGCCUAUUUUUAAGUCUACAUCUAACAUGGCACCUUGUUUCAAAGUUGAUGUCGAAGAAGUUGAUAGUAAUAGUGUGAGUUAUAAUGAUAGUAAUAGUGUAAACUAUGAUGAUAGUGAUAGUGAACUUUGUGAACCGAAAAAGUUAAUAGUGAGAAUUGUUUCCUAGAGUGUGCGAAUUUGGAUGGGUUAGACAUCUAUUCUCCUCCUACAGAGUUAUAUUCUAAUGAAUUCAAUAUUCAAAAUUUUUAUGAGGGGUUAAAGGGAAAUGGAGAUGAUUCAUGGAAAAUUACUGAAAGAAAAGAAACCUUAAGUGAUAAAAGUCAAUUUGAUGGUCCAACUUUGGUGAGUGAAAAUUUCUAUGAGGUAAAAUUAGAGAGUUCAAUUCAUAUUCAAAAAGAGAAUAGAAAGUAAGAGAGAACCUAUCUGAAAGAGAGGAAUGAUUAUGUUUUCUCUAACCUUAACUUGAAUUUAUCUAGUGGACUUGUUUCAUUCUUUUAGGAAUUUGUUGCUCCUUUGAGAGGAACUCUAUUAAAACAACCUGAAUACGAUCCUGCUCUGCUUCCUCCCCUCAAUUCUCUAUUAGAAGAAUUUUGGGAUUAUCAAUAAAGAAGAUUAGAGUAGUGAUACAUAUAUUAAUCAGGUGAAUUUUUUUAAAUUAAAUUCAUUAACGAGAUAAAUUUUCAGGUUUUAAAAUUCAGCUGACUUUGACGUAUUUUUAGAUGAGAUCCUAGUAUUUCUAAGUUGAAAUGUAUUUUGACUGAUGAUAGAUCUGUCUUUUACCUUCGAAAAACAUUUUGAAUAACCUCUUUUUGAGUUCGGGACCUCAAGUUAUGGUCGUUUAAGUGAAAGAAUAUGCGAGCAGAAACUUUUGGAUUGGGUUAUUAUGAGAAUUACAAGUUUUGGACAUUGAUUCAUGUUUAAAUCAUAUUGGGUUCGAUUUUAAAGUUUAAUUUUGAUGAUAUAUAAGCCCAAUAAUGUAUUUAGGAACUUUUAUAUUUUUUACAUUUAUUUAUUUCAAAUUUUACGAUAUUUUUAAGUGUUUUAAUUUCUUUAGAAUUUUUUAUGUUUCUUAGUUAGUAAGAAAGUUUAGUUCAACUAGAAUUACUUAUUAUUUAGACAAUUUAUAAGUUUAAUUAAAUUGAUAAUUUGUUUUUCAUUCAAUUUAUAGCCUAUAUAAAGGCACCUUCGUUAUUUAUUAUGUUAGACAUUUUUUGAUUAUUUGAUUAAUAAAACACUCUUUGGAGUUUAUUUAUUUUGCAAGAUUCAAUUAUUAUUUGUAUCUCAUGAGAUUCUUUGUACUCUUUUUACUUAAUUUUGAAUUUUUGGGAGAAAUUAUUUAAACUUCGAUUACCAAAAAUUCGUUCUUCGAUGGUCGAUUAGAGUUGUAUAAUUGAGUUUGUCAGAAAAUCUUUUUUGGAAGGUUCAAUUAGACACUUAUACUUAUAUUCCACACUUCCAUCAAUUUCUUCAUUCCAUCUCACAUCUUUUUCAUUUAUUUUAUUUUGAUGCCAAUUUCAAUUAUAAUAUUUAUUAAUUGGUUUCUUGUUGUCCAAACUGUAAGAAUCAAUUUAGAGUCUCUCGAGUCAAAAUGAAUAUUCUAAAACUUUGAAAUACCUUCGAAUUCUUUUAGAAUUUUGUGGACGUUACCCUCUAUCAAGUGAGUCUUUGUUUUUCAAGAAUUUAGUGCUUCAUUUUAAUUAAAUACAAAUAUUAUUGUUGAAAAAUGGUUAAUGGUGUUGACUUUAUUUAAUUCAUAGACUCUAGCUUCAAUGACAACUAUCAAUUAAGCUACAAAGGAAACUACAAUUUUGAUUAUAUUGGAGAAUUUUAUCUCUCUUGUAAUGAGUAAUGGGUCGUUGUGUUAUGUUUGAAUGAUAGAUUUUUUUUAAAAAUAAAAAUUUCAUUUGCUGAUAAUCAUUAGAAUUGUCAUUGUAGGAAAAGAGGAGGAGGUAUAAGGAUGAAUUUGCAAGAUAUGUUUGGGUUUUAGACCCAAUAUAUGGCCAAAAAAGUUUCAUGGUAUAUGUUUCUCUCUCUAUGUGUGAGCACAUGUAAUUGUUUGGUAUACAAAUGUAAACUUUUAACACCACAAGUAAGAUUGAUAUUUUGUUACCUGUCUUAUUUAGAGGUAAACUACACAAAUAAUAACGGGUGGGUGGUGGAGGUAAAGGGAGGACGGGACGAUGGUAGGGGAGGUCUCGUGGAGGAUUUUUUAUUUUAUUUAAGGUUAAUAUAAAAUCUAAAUUUAUUAUUAUAUUUUUUAAAUUAUUUAUGUAUUUUCAUAUAUUUCUUUGAAUUUUUUUAGAAUUAAGAUAAAAUUGAGAAUAUUUGUAAAUUUUGAGCGUUAAUUUUUUUAAAUAUGACUAAAUCAAUAUUAUAUGUAAAAGUUGAGGGCUAAAUUUGUUAUUAUACCAAUUUUUUAACUGUCAUGUCAACUAGUCGUUUGUGAUUUAACAGGAAUGAGCAAAAUGAUUGAACUAUAUAACAUGGUGCUUAAAUUGCAAAUUUUUAUUUUGAGUGCUUAAAAUGAAAUUUUUUUAUGGUUGGGUGACUAUUUAUGUAGUUUACCCCUUAUUUGAUUAUUUUUUAAUUUUUUUAAAUACAAUUUAAAGACACAUGACAAAAUUUCAACCAUGGUUGUGAAGUUAAAAAUUUCCACCACUUAUAUACCAAAUAAUUUUCCAUAUAUUGUCAAAAUAUUAAUUUAGUUUCAUUGUUGAAUUUGGCUUAAAUUGAGUUCAUGCUUCUCAAUUUUUAGGAAAAUUAGUAUUGGGUACUCUCAUUGUUUUAAUAAAUAAAGAUAAACCAAUAAGCUUCAUUUAUACCCUAUAGUUUAAAUUUUGAUUUGUAAGAAAUUUGAUAACUUCUCUUAAUCAUAAAGGAGUAGAAUUAGCUUGCUCGCUACAAAAUAGUGUUCUCAUUGGUAAUGGAAACCAUAUGAAUCAUAUGAACUAGUUAAAUGGUGUUCUCAUUGGCAAUGGUGUCAUCAUAACAAAACUAGUUUCGCAAUGUUCCCCUUUCAUCAAAGUUUAAUCAUAUGAAUUUGUAUCAUGUACAUUAGUGAAAUUCAGUUUUAACAGUUAACAUUAAUAUGUACUAUGUUAUCCUCUUUAUUUAGAUUUUGUGUUUUUUUCAUUUUUCUAUCACUUAAACAUAGUAUCCAAUUAUACCAGCUCAAUCGAUUCUUAAUUUUGCUUUUGGUUUAUGUUCAUUUCUUAAAAAAAGGUUAGAUGUUGCCUCAUGACUAAGUAAGAAGGGUUGACGUGUUUGGCCCCGUUGGAUGCUCUUCUCCAUUUUGGUUACAAAUUCUUUACUUUAAAAGUAAAAAACACAAAAGUAAAAUGACCAAAAUAGUUGCUUAUUAAGCAAUAUAUAAUUUAUUCUCCUUUGAGAAUGACAAUUUCUUCUCUCAAAAAAUCAUUCAAUUGACACAUCACUUCCAUUUUCCUCAACAUAUGCCUAAAAGCAUCCUCUAGACUAUUAAAAGGAACAUCAUUGCCCAUUGUUUGAAUUUGAUGCUUUAAUCAUUGAAAGCGAAUGUGGGAUAGAACGACAUUUCUUCUUCAACUUUAUUAUUGCAAAUCGUAGCUCAGGAUCUCUUUUAAGUGCAUCUGAAGUCUACUCUAAUACUAAUUGAAAAAGUAGCAAUCAGUUUGCUCCUUGUCCCAAAUUGAUGUCCUAGUUGAUGUUCAGAUAAAAGUUGGAACUGUCUUAAUUCAGUGUCACAACUAAUGUUCGAACACAAGUUCCAACAAAAUUGUGUAACAAAGGCAGUAGACACAUGAAAGAAGGAGAGGAGUAAACACACAAACUUUGUUAACACAGUUCAGAAAACAAUCCUACUCUGUGGAGCUUCGCUUUGUGAAUGAUUUUAUUCAAUAGUCAUCCAGAUCAUUGACCUGUUGCCAAAUGAGGUGGUAGUUUUAGUACAUUCCAGCACUUAGGAGGCUUGUUUUCUAGUCAUCUUAUAAUUAGUUAUCGCAUUUUCAGUUUUCAUAGUUUAGGUUUAAUUAUUUGCAAAAUAAGUGUCUUUACGCAAUACUUUAUGUUAGUUGACAUAUUAGGCUAAUUCAGCCCUUAGGUAGUUUUAAUAUGUUUAAUUGAGUGUGUAAGAUGAGUAUUGAGCAGUCUAAUAGCCUUAGGGACGACACUCGAGUGCAGCACAAUGAGAAGCUGAAACUUCUAGCUUGGGAAAUUGAUGUCAUGUCGUGACACACCUUGGCUGUGUUGCGACACAGGGCUGAAUGUGGGGCACAGGCUAAACGUGUGACACAAGUAUCAUAAAGGCUAAAAUCGUUCGCGCAAUCAAUUAUUUCUGGGAUUAGGGCUUGUAAUAGUCCUAAUUAGGGUUUCUAAAAAUUUGUAUAAAUAGAAAGGUUAUGGCCAACAUGUGGGCAAGCCUUUAAGAGCCGUAAUAGAUUUAGAUUUAAGUAUUUUCUUUUUCGUUUCAAGAUACUCUUGUUCUUUUCGACUAGAUUCAGUUUUGAAACUAAGUCAUUUUAAUUAAAGUAUUCAUCAGUCUCUUUUAUUGUUCGUUCACAAACAUCGAAGAUCAAUUAAUGACUACAAGAUUAUGCCACCCUAAUCCCAUUCGAUUCAAUCGAUUGAGCAAUUUCUUACCUUUCUCUUAUUGAAUUUAAUUGUGUUAUUUUGUAUGUUUAAAUUAAAUAUAAGAGUUAUGGCAUCUAGACUCAUGAGAGGCUAAGUCUCUACGAAGACUAACGAGUGGAUGUGAGAGUAGUUAACAGAAGAAUAUGAGUUCCCUGAAGGAACCUACUAGUUUUAAAUCAUGUAUGCUUAAACCCUAAGAUUGACAAGUAAAUCGUGAUUUAUCUUGGAGGGGAAAGUGAGGUCGGGAGAUAAGCAAGUACCUGUUGGUUAGUUAAUUAGUAGAGGCUAGGAGGUAAUACUAGUUGAUUAAUAGUUAAUUCCAUUAAAACCCAAAUUCUGAUGUCAACUACAACUACUGAAACGAGUUAAUCUCCUGCCUGCUAAUCUGAUUAAGUUGUUUGUUUGUUUUCUAUUAUUUAAUUUAGUUGAAUUUAUUUUAUGAUUUUUAUCUCUUUUAUUGGUUGUCAUAAUAUAGAUUUUAAUUAUUACUAUUUAAACUUAUUAUUGUAGAAACAUAUUUAGGAUUUAAUUUGUCCUCCCUUGGGUACGAUCCUCAGAAUACUUCCCUCUGUUCCGUUGCAACACUUAUUAUAUUACAGUUUGACCCAUAUACUUGCGGACACCACUGUCUUAUUUUAAUAUCUUUUGCGGUAAUAUUUUCUAUCCAAAUGUUCACACGUUUGGCGGCUGUCAAUCACCUAUUGGCUUAAGCCUAGUCUACCAUUACACAUUGGAUAAUUGCAACCCCAACAAUGAACCCAAUUGUUUACAAAUCACUCAUCCAAAACAACUUCACUUACAAUAAGGUUUACUCUCUAAUAAAAUGCCUAACACAAGAGUGCAACAAUACCAAGUAAAAGAUACAAAAAUAAUCAAUCAAAAUCUCUCUUAAGUACACUAACAUGUGGCAACCAAUAGCCUUUUAUAGGCUAACACAAGAGCUUUUAAAUAGCAUUUUGAUAAGUUUAAAACUCUUAGUGAAAGCUAAAUUUAUCUCUUGAAAUAUAUUUAAUAGUUAUCCCAUAACUUCAUAUCCAAGUAAAACAACUGACUUGGUCUUUAAGUAAAAGGAUAAGGAUAAGGUAUGAGAUAAUGAAAAUUGAUCAUUCAUCCUCUUCCUCUCCCAAAUUCAAUCAACAUAAUUAAUGAUAGAAUAAAACAUGGUCUAAGGAUCAUUUGUUCAUAGCUCAACACACAAUGAAGAUCAAAGUAAAAAAAUGCAAACUUUCUAUUGCACUUAACUAUCUUCAAAGCCUGUCUAGAUUAUUGUCCAAAGGUCUAUCCUAACAAUUGUUCAAACAAGGGACAAACAUGGUCACUAAACAUGCAAUUCAAGGAGUUGUUCAAACAUGGGGAGAAACUUCAGAUACUAAACAACUAAAUUCCCAAUACUCACUCUUAAUUUUCCCAUGAACUCAACAACCAUCCAUCAACUUGUAAAAUAACCAUAAUCAAAACUUGAAUAACCCUAAAACCAUAUUACCUUAAUAAAAAAAUUAGGAACCUUAAUCAUAAAUUAACAACUCUAAUCACUUACCAUAUUGCUAAAAACAAAUCCACAACCCUAAACCCAAUGUUACACUAUACAAGCAACAAUAGCUAAAACUAGCAAAAUCGCUCCCUCCUUUCCCUCUCAAAAACCUUAAAUUUUCCUUAAAAGUACAACAAGAAAAACUCUAGCUUAAGCUUAAGCUAAAAUUGAUUAAUCGUACCAAAUAACGAAAUGUCAUGAAUUACAAAAUCGUUUCCCAAUUUUUUUACACUAAACAAACCUCCCACUAAGAUUAUUAUUUAACCAUGUAUUCUUAACCGAGUUGCAAUCCCACAAUAAAUACUGGAAUACUGUUGGAAACCUCUAUUUUCAAUUUCCUUCUUUCUGUUGGAAGGAGGUGGAAGAGAAAUAGCCUUUAGGAAAUAAUGAACUCACGUUGUAUCGAACUUUGUCUUUUUUCACUCUCUCUUACCAUGCUUCAUCUUAAACAACUAUUUAUAUAGUAGGUGUAAGUGAAUAUUGGUUUCAACAUAUUCAUGUGUCCUAGUUAAGUACAUGCAUGACUACUAGAUACAUCUACUCUAAAUACAUUCAUUAAACUAGAUACGUCUACUCUAAAUACAAGUACAUGUAAGUAAUGAGCAAGUACAUUCUAGAAUGUUACAAAUUAUAAUAUCCAACACUUCUCCUUAAUUUGAAAUUUUCUUAAUGACACCAAGUUUUCUAUGCAUUCUUUGAAAACCUUCAACCUUGAGAGGUUUUGUAAAAAUAUCUGCCACUUGAUCUUGAGUCUUCACAAACUUAAGCUCCACUUAUUUCUUGGCAAUAUGCUCCAUGAUAAAAUGAUUUCUUGUGUCUAUAUGUUUGCUUCGAUCAUGGAACACAUGAUUUUUCGAGAACGCUUGUGCAGACUUGUUAUCAAUGCAAAUUUUGCUUGCUCAUUCUUGUGGCAACUAAAGUUCAUUCAACAAUCCUCUAAGCUAAAUAGCAUGACAAGUACAAGAAAUUGUUGCCACAUAUUUAGCCUCACAAGUUGAACGUGUCAUAAUAUGUUGUUUCUUAGAACUUCAAGAGAUGCAACAAUCUCCCAAGAAAAACACAAAUCUGAUGGUGUUUUUUCUAUCAUCAAUGUCAUCGGAAAAAUCACUAUUACAAAAUCCCAUGAGUUGAAAGUCAUGAGAAGAUGAGUAGAAUAACCCUAAUUCAAUCAUACUUUUUAGGUAGUGAAGAAUCCUUUUAGUAGCCUUCAUGUGAGCUGACGUAGGAGCUUCCGCGUAGCGACUCACUACACCAACUACAAAUAGGACAUCAGGCCUUGUACAUGUCAAGUAUCUCAAACUUCCCACAAGACUUUUGAAAAGAGUUGGAUCUUCUUUCAUUCCAUCAUCAAACUUUGACAACUUCACUCCACAUUCUAUUGGAGUUUCAAAAAGAUUGCAAUCAAGCAUUUUGAAUUUCUUCAACACUUUUUUUACAUAACCUACUUGUGAGAUGAAUAUGUCGCCAUCUAUUUGUUUCACUUCUAGUCCCAAAUAAUAAGACAUGAGCCCCACAUCAAUCAUCUCGAAAUCAAGUGACAUAUGCUUAUUCAAUUCUUUAAUUAAAUUCAAUUUUUUUCUAUAAAGAUCAAAUCAUCCACAUAAAUACAAACUAUCAAGAUAUCUCUACGAUCAUUUAUCUUAACAUAGAGUGUUUGUUCAUAAAGACACUGAACAAAUCCAUUGUCUCGAAAAUACUUGUCGAUGUGGCUAUAUCAUGCACUGGGUGCUUAUUUUAACCCAAAUAGUGCAUUUUUCAACCUUAGGCAUUUUAUCUUCUCGUCCUUGGAUAUUGUAUCCCAUGGGUUGCUCAAUGUAAACUUCCUCUUCCAAGAAAUUGUUAAGAAAUGUCGAUUUCACAUCAAAUUGAUUUAUUUUCCAUUUCAUUUGAGCGGCCAAGGAAAUAAGAAAAUGAAUUGUUUCAAUUUGGGCAAUAGGUACAAACACUUCAUCAUAAUCAAUCCCAUGCUUUUUCUUGUAGCCUUUAACAACAUGCCUUACUUUGUACCAAACCAUUUCUCCACUUGCAUUUUUCUUUUUCUUGAAAACCCAUUUGACCUCAAUAGUUUCAUGGCCUUUUGGAAGUUCAGAUAACUCCCAAGUGUUGUUUUUCUCAACGAAUUCAUGGAUUGGAGUAGAUGAAGAUGGAGGAGUCACGUCUUGCACCAGUGCCACAAUUGUUGGAAAAAUAGGUUUAGAAAACGCAGCGGAAAAUAAGUUUAAAGCAAAAACCAGAGUUUUAAUUUUUUUUCCAAAAACAAAAAUUUUGUUGUGAUGUCUAAAGUAAUAAACACUUAAUCAAAAUUGCACCUUUUCAAUUUGUCUAGGAUGAACACUUCGACCGAGUAGCCUUCUCCAUUAUCCUCAAGCUCACGUUUUUCGAGUGUGAGCUCACAUCGAAUCAGAAAAAUUUUCACAAAAUUACCAGUGCGAUAAUUUCACAAUUUCUCUAAACUUAUAAGUCCAGUUUUAAAUAAGAAAAAUACCUCUGGAAAUCUUCUGAAUUAAUUUCUUCAUAGAAUUUUCUCUCUACAACUUUCUCUUGAAUUCAAGUGUGUGAAAAAUAAUGACUCAUGACUCUCUUUAUAUAAAGAGAUUUUAGAGAGUUCAACUAUAAUUAAACUUAAUCAUUUUAAUAUUAAAUUAAUAUAAUACUUAUCAAGAUAAAUAUUAGAUUAAAUUUAAUAUUAAAUCUAUUAAAUUAAUAAAAUAUUAUCAAGAUAAGUAUUUAAUUUAAUUUAAUAUUAAAUCUAUUAAAAUAAUAUUAUUUUUGGAAUAGUUUAUCUAAGAUCAAAUUAUCCAGUAGAGUCCUGAUAGGAGUGUGAUUCCUCCACUUCUCAUCCAUCGGAGGACCAUCCGUCGACCAUCAGAAUGUUUUUGUCGCCGUCGCCGUCUUCGGCACCGUUGUGUUAGGUGGUGCCAUCAUAGGUGCGACACCCUCACGGCACAACAAGCUGGUUUGGUCCAAGCCUAGUGACGAGCCAACCGGUCUGGUCCAGCCACCGAUUGGAUCGUCGGCCUGGUUUCUCAUACUAGGUCUGGUUCGACUAGUUUUUGGGUCUUGGUCUCGAUUUUGAAUUCUCGAGCCUAAUUUUUGAUUGCAGGCCCAAUUUUCAAGUUCAAUUACUCAUGACCCAAUUGUUUGACUUGAAAAUUAAUUUCCACAAAUAUCAUAUCAAUUUUAAUUAAUUUGAUUAAUUUAAUUUUACUUGAUUAAACUUAAUUUUCUCAAAAAUCACUAAGAUUUUCCAAAUUAAUUUUUUAAGAAAAUUUUUUAAUCAAAUUUUCUAGUUGAAAAAUUCUCAUGACUGCCUAAUUUAAUUCAACAUCGAAUAAAUCAACUCAAUUAAAUUAUUUCUAAAGUCGUAGAAUUUUCUUCUGAUUCAAAUACAGUCCAAUCAAGCUUUUGUUGAGCUAGCGGAGGGACCAAUCAGACAUAUACAAUUAUCCUUGAGUAAUUGCAAUUAUUUCCAGAAGCAUUGUUCCUAUAAUUCACGAUUUACUUAAUCAUGAAGUCAGUCCACAAGAAGUACCAUGAAUAAAAACUCCUUAUUGUAUACUCUUUACGAAAGUAAUUCAUCCAACUGCUUUGUCCAGUGACCUCCUCAUGUGUGUUACCCUCAUAUGAUAUCCUUGAUUCCUUUGAGUUAAAUCUGCUCCACUUAUAUCAAAGCAUAUGAGUUACAUACGCAUGGUCAGUGACUAACUCAGGAUUUAGGUAAAUCAAACCAUGAACGUCACAAGUGAAUUAAUUCACAAACGAAUUCAAAAUUAAGUCGUCUUGGGUUCAGUUAAAUGCAUCAUUAUUCCAAUCAAUACACUUAUGUCUCUACCCAUGGGGUCAACUGCUCUGAUUGUCAAGACUAGUCAUAUCCCCAAUUAGAAUUAUAGAUGACAUAAUCCCUCAAGUAUUUGAAUCACUCACUUUGAUUUUUUUUCUAGGUUUAUGGACUCGUUUAGAUUAUCUACUGAAUUAAGUUAUCUUUAUCACAAUGUAAAUGUUCCUAUAAUGCCACUUAUCAUCAAUUUGAACUUCGAAAAUCAAUGGCUAAUAUUUUCUUGUCACAAUUUUUCUAUGCAUGUAAAACAUGAGAGACAAAAACACAAAAGAUAAAACAGUGAAAUGUGAAAUUUAUUUAUUCAUUAUUCAAAUACAUAGAAAAUAAUUACAUGUUUACUACGAUAUGGGUGCAUUUCUCAACAAUAGUGUAUUUUUCUUCCUCAAAAUAAGGAAAGAAAUCAUAAGAUUUGAAAUAACUCGUUUUUCAGUGUUUUCAGAAAUAAUGGUUUCGGGGCUACAGAUCUAAUAAGUAAGUCCAUAAAUAUUAUAUUUACAAGUCAAAUAUUGAAUUAUAUUUGAUUUUGAUAUGGUAAUUUAUGUAAUGUGAAUGAAUAAUUUAGUUUAAGUGGUGUCCCUAAAGUCAAGUGGGUUUAGAAAAUGAGGUAUUGGGACCUCGUUUCUAUAAACCGAGCUCAUAAAUAUUUAAUAAAAUAUUUACGGAGUGUUAUUAAGGUUUUAUUAAAAUUUAGUUAAGAAAUUUUAAGGUUCAGAUAGUUAAUAAAUUAAAAAGGAUUAAAUUGCAAAGGUUGCAAAAGUAGGUUUCUAUUGAUUAAAUGGAUUAAAUGGCUAUGGAAAGGUAAACUAAAGGACCUAGAUGGUAAUUAUACUAUAUAUAUAUAUAAGUGGUAGACAAAUAUGGACAUAUUCUAGUUACUUUAUAAAUUAUAACUUAAGGUUAAAUAAGUAAUUAAAUAAAUAAAAGUUUAAUUUAAUAAGCCAAAAUAGCAUCAUCUUCUCCAAAUUGCUAAUUUUUCAAACUGAAACUCUUCUUAAGAAGAUGAAGCUUUCGGCCAUGGAGUUUUAUAUGCAUGGUAUGUUGUUGAGUCCCAUUUUUAAUGAUUUUUAUAUUUUUAAGCUCAUAUUAACUUAAUUUAGUUAGCCCGAGGGUCAAUUUGUAAAGUUAUUAAAUUUUUAUUAUUAUGUAAUUGAUGUUUUAUGAAUUUUGAUGAUUGAUUAUUAAAUUUGAUUCUUAAAUAAACAAGUUUUGUUAAAUAAUUUUUAGUGAUUUUAAUGUUUAGGGAUUUAUUUGUAAAAGUGGUAAAAUUCAAGGAAAAAAUUGUAAAUUGUUGAUAAAUAUGGUAUGUUAUAAGAUUGGGUAAAAAUAGGCUAGCACGAAUUAUGGUUAAAAAUGGUGAAAUUUCAAGUUUUGGGUUUAGGAACUAAAUAGCAUAAAAGUUAAAAUAUUAGAGAUAAUUUUGUAAUUUUGCAAUAGUAUGGAUUAAAAGCUUGAAUUAAACAUUUUAAGUUAAUUGAAUGGUUUAAUUGAUUGGAAAAUUAUUAUUAGAUCAAGAAACGCUACAAUUGAAGUUAAAUUGAGGAAAAGCUCAAGUUUAGGAUUAGUUGUCAACUCCGUUUUAACAACAUUCUAGUUGACGUAAGUUCGUGUUACAUAUAAUAAGUUAUAUUAAAUUCUUUAUAUUUAUUUUAUUCUAUUAAUCGUGAUUAUUAUAAUUAUUGAAUGUUGGUUGUUGAAAAUUAAUAAUGAAAUGAAUUGUAUUAAAGAUAAUAUCGAACUUUGAGGCCAGCAGGCUUUGUGCUCGUGAUUUAUAUCAGGCUUUGUGCAUAGCAGGCUCUAUAUCGAUGUGUUGUAUCAGGUAGCAGGCUUUGUGUUGGUGAUUUAUAUUAGACUUUGUUCCUAGCAGGCUUUGUGUCGGUGUAACUGUAUCAGGCCUCGAACUUAACAGGCUUUAUUUUGAUGUGAUAUAUUAGGUAACUAGUACAGUAAAUAUUAUUUCAAUUAUCCGAUGUUGUUCUAUUUGGUUCAAAGGGCAAUGUAUUGGUUAAAAACGAAAGGUAUGUAAAUGAAAUUGUAACAACUCAUUUUUCAAUGGUGAUGAAAUAAUGGUUUCAGGACCACAAAUUCCCAUCAUGUCGACUCAUAAAUAUUAUAUAUAGAAUAUUUACGGAGUUAUUAAACUCUUAUUAAAAUUUGGUUAAGAAAUUUUAACAUUUAGAUAUUUAAUUAAGUAAAAAGGACUAAAUCAUAAAAAGAGUAAAAGUUGAGUUCUGUUAGUUAAAGGGAUUUAAUAGCUUUGAAAUCUUAAAUUAAGGGACUUGAAUGGUAAAUAAACCAUUUAAAAAAUUAGUGGAUGUGCAUGGGCAUGGUUUUAUUGUAAUUAUUGAUUAAUAAUAAGGGUAAAGUGGUAAAUUAACACUUAAAAAUAAAAUUAAGUAAGAAAAGAUGAAAACAAAGUGAUCAUCUUCAUGCUUUUGUCUUUGGAGAACUGAAAUUCACCAUUGAAGAGGAGAUAAUCUUCGGUUUGAAUUCUUCUUGCAUGGUAUGUACAUUUGAUCCCGUUUUGAAUGAUUUUUAUGUUUUUGAGAUUGUUGCAACUAGGUCCAGCUAGCCCGUACCUUCAUUUUUGAAACUGUUAAAAAUUUUAAAAGUUGCCAUUGAUGAUUCUUGAAUGUUUUUUUUAUGACAACUAUGUGUUUGAAGCUUUCAUUGUGGUAUAUGGUUGUUUUGUAAAGUGAUUUUUGUUAGAUUUUGAUUUAAGGAUUAAAAUUUUAAAAUGUCAAAAUUUCAAGGUUUGAUGGUGAAUUUGAUGUGUAAUAGAGACUGUUAAAGGGCCUAGAAUAAUCGACUGUAGUUUGAUUCUUAAAAAAUAGUCAAUUUGAUGAUUUUCGGGUUAGAGGAUUAAAUUGUAAAAGUUGUAAAAGUUUACAAAAAAUAUGUAAUUAAUGAAAAUUUAAGGGUCAUAUGCAUUGAAUGAAAUGUGAAAUGUGUUUGGGAUUAAUAUAUUAUCUUUAAUUAUUAUAUAGAUCAUAACUUGGAUAAAAAAGACAAUAACCGAGGAAAAGGAAAAAUAGCAGAUUAAUCCCUACGUGUUGGUUGGAAUCAAAUAGUAGGUAAGUUCAUAGUAUUUCAAUAUGUAAAUGAAUUUGUACUUGUAUUCUUACAUUAUAGUUCUUUAAUUAAAUGUUUAUAGUUAACAAUUGAAUGAAUGCACAUAAGUGCGUCUGUUUGUACUCCGGUACCCCUGAAUGCACAUACGUGCUCCUAUUUGUACUUUGGUACCCUUGAAUGCAUAUAAGUUCCCCUGUUUCUACCUCAAUACCCCUUAAUGCACAUAAGUGCCGCUGUUUGUACUUCGGUACCCCUGAAAGCACAUCAGUGCCCCUAUUUGUACUUCGGUACCCCUAAAUGCCUUUAUGUGCCCUGUUUAUACUCUGGUAACUCUGAAUUAUAUAUUAUAGGAACUGUAUUUAAUUGUCUUUAGAUUAAAUGUUAUACUGUGUCCUUAUUAAGCUUUGUAAGCUUAUCGGUUCUUAUGGAUUGUUUUGUAGAUAAUCACUAAUAUUUUGGAGGGAUCAUUCAACUAGCUCACACUAUCCACCUAAGUUGGUGGUUUUUGUAUCUCCUAGGGUAGUGGCAUGUAUAAACUUAUAUAGAUGAAUUUUUGGUUGAAAUGUAUAGGGUGUUUAUAAUGGGUUUGAUGAAUAUGUAAAGGAUAAUUUGGUAUGUUUGUGUCUUGAUGUUUAAGUAUGAUUGACGGGCUUAUAAUCUUGUCAUGUAAGUCUUUUUGGUCACUGUUGGUAAUUAAUGUGUAUGUCCCUUUGGUAAGAUGAUGUUGGCUUUGAAAUGGUCAAUUUGUGGUAUGUUUUGUUAAGUGGUUGAAUUAAGUUAUGAUGCUUGAAAUAAAGAAUUGUUGAUUUGUUUUGGCAUGUUAUGUUUGGUUGUUAAUUGUGGUGCCUUUGAAUGGCAUAUUGGUUAGUUGAAUGAGGAUCUUGAAGUGGCAUUUUGAUGUGUGUUUGAGUGAUGUUUAGGCCCUUUUAAAGUGUGAUUAAAUGGGUUGAAAGGUUAUGCAUGAAUUGGUUUUGAGUUGGCUUGAUUUUAGGUAAAAUUUGGAUUCACACGGCCUGAGACACAAGCCUGUGAUUCAACCAUGUGAGCCACACAGCUUGGCAAUACGGUCGUGUGUCAUCUGAUAGUUUCUUAGUGUAAAAUUCAGUGAGUUACAUGGCCUGGAACACGGGCGUGUAUCGUUACUCAGAGAGUUACAGGACCUGGCAUAUGAGCAUGUGACACAACCGUGUAACCUUACUCAGAGAGUUACACAGGUGAGGUCAUGGGUUGAGACACGGCUGUGUGUCCCUAUUUCGAAAGUCACACAGCCUAGGGCCAUGUCACACGUCGUGUGACCCCUGUUUUCAAAUUUUGUGAUUUUUUCGUAAUCUUUCCAAAUUAUUUCGAAGUAGUCUCAAAUUGCUCUUAAGCUAUUUUUAAGGCCUCAAGGGCCCGAUUUAGGAACGGUAUGCAUGUGAAUGAUUGGUUUAUGAUAGUAUUAACAUCUGGAUGAUAUGAGGUUUAAAUUUUUACUAUUGUAUGGUAAUGCUCUAUAACCCUAAACUGGCAACGGAGACUGGUUAGGAGUGUUAUAUUUAGUGGUAUUAGAGAUAUGGUUUAGUCGAUUCUAGGAAUAACGUAGCGAAAUAGAGUGUAGUAUAUACAUGCCACAUAUAUCUUGUGAUAAUGUGACGCUUUUGAUCUGCUCUAAUAUUGUAUUUUCUUAUAGAUUCAAGAUGUCAGCUAAGUCGAACCAGGCUGUAGUUAACGAAGCUGAAAGUAAUGUUCAAGCUUCAAACCCUGAAGUAAGUAAUUGUGCAUCGAUCCCACAGUUCCUAGGUGACGAAAUAAUAUUUUUUUGUUCGAAUGAUGAACCAGUGGUUCAAUGAAUUCAAGAAAGCAAAUAUUACAAAUCCGCCGCCUCCACCCCCAGCUGUGCCUCCACUGGCACCUCUGGGUCCUCAAAAUUCUGUACCUAUGAAAGUUGCUAGAGUAUCUGUAGAUAAAAUUUGGAAAUGUGGAGCGAAAGAAUUCAGAGGCAAGAUGGAUGAUGAUCUUGAAAAAGCCAAGUAUUGGUUAAUGAAUACAACGAGAGUCUUCGCGAAAUUGAUGUGCACUCCUGAAGAUUGUUUGAGAUGUGCUAUGUCGUUACUAAAAGAUGAAGCGUAUUUAUGGUGGGACACUUUGAGCACGUUGACAUCUAAUGAUCGUAUUAAUUAAGAUUUCUUUCAGACUGAAUUCAAGAAGAAGUAUGUUAGUCGGCUAUUUAUUGACAAGAAAAAGAAAGAAUUUCUUGAUUUAAAAUAAGAAAAUCGGACUGUAGCAGAGUAUGAACGAGAAUUUGUGCAGCUAAGCAAGUAUGCCUAUAAUAUAGUAUCAAAUGAGGAGAAAAUAUGUAUUAGACUUGAGGACGAGUUGAAUUAUGAUAUUCGUAUGUCAGUGGCAGCACUAAAGUUACAAAAAUUUGUAGAACUUUCAGAACGGGCUUAGAAAAUUGAAGAAAUUUGUAACAGUAAACGACAAUUAUAUUUGAAAUUUUGAGAUUUUAACAAAAGGGGUCGUUCAAGCCUACUCAAGCGUCUCCAUAAAAGAAAUUUAGAAAUGAAACAAGUCGACCAGCUGUUCCCUUAAAGUUCACUAGUAGAGAGAAAUAGAGGUAAAGCAAUUUCCUGUAUGUUAAUUCUCCAGCGGCUAGUGUUGGAAGUGUAAGAAAUGUUGAAAGAACCAUUCUUGUUUGUGAUGAUUGCAACAAAAGGAAUUUUGGUGAGUGUCGAUCAAAUUCGGGAGCUUGUUUCUGUUGUAGAUCUACUAACCAUUUCUUUUGUAAUUGCCCGAAAGGCAAAAUGAUUUUAGCAAUCAACCAAAUAAGCCUAAGCAACCUUACAGAGAGGUAGACGAUCUGGAAAAUCUAGAAACACUACUCCCGGUAGAGGGAAGAAUAGUAAGAUGAAUGAACGAUCUGAAGCAAGAACACCAACUAGAGCCUAUGCAAUCAAAGCUCGAAAGGAAGCUACUACCCCCAGACGUUAUUACAGGUACUUUUUCUCUCUUUGAUAUUACUGUAUAUGCAUUAAAUGAUCCUGGAUCAAGUCAUCGAAUAUAUGCACAACAUUAGUAGACAAAAAGAAAUUACUUGUUGAGUUCACUAAAUAUACUGUCAAAGUUACGAAUCCACUAGGUCAGUGUGUUUUAGUUAAUCAAGUAUGUAAAUCGUGUCCACUAAAAGUUAGGGGUUACGAUUUUCCCACUAGUUUGAUGUUGUUACUUUUCGGUGAUUUUGAUAUCAUUCUGGGAAUGGAUUGGUUGUUUGAACAUGAUGCUAUAGUGAGUUACCGAAAGAAGAAAGAUAGCUUAAAGGGUCCAAAUGGUGAAUUUAUUUAUGUUAGGGCAGAUGGGGUCGAUUGUAUUACAAAUUUGUUUUAGCGCUGUCAGCUUUAAAAUUGAUUAAAAAAGGGUGUGAAACUUAUUUAGCUUACGUUCUUGAUUCGAAGUGACCGAAUCAAAAAUUGAUCAAGUGCCGAUAGUCAAAGAGUAUGCUAAUGUAUUUUCCUGAAGAAUUGUCCGGGUUGCCACCAACUCGAGAAGUAGAAUUUGUGAUUGAAUUUGUGCCGAGCAUUUAAAAGUGGUGAUGCAAACUUUGAGUGAAAAAAAACUAUAUGCGAAAUUUAGUAAAUGCAAAUUUUGGCUACGGGAACUUAAUUUCCUGGGACAUGUUAUAUUUUCUGAUGCAAUCAAAGUUGAUUCGAAUAAAGUAUUUGCGAUUGUUGAUUGGAAAAUUUCGAAGAAUGUCUUUGAAGUUCGAAGUUUCUUGGUACUAUUAGGUUACUAUUGGCGAUUUGUUAAAAUUUUCUCGAUCAUUGCUUCACCUAUGACCAAAUUACAAAAAAACAUUGAAUUUGUUUGGUAUGAUAAAUGUUAACAAAGUUUUGGUCAGCUUAAAAACAUGUUAACAGAAGCUCCAGUGUUACUUAGCCUUAAUCUGGAAUGGCAUAUGUUUUUUACAGUGAUGCGUCUCUCAAUGGUUUAGGUUGUGUGUUAAUGCAGUCAAGGAAAGUGGUAGCUAAUGCUUUUCAACAGUUAAAGCCGCGUGAAAAGAAUUAUCCUACUCAUGAUCUUGAGCUGGCCGCUAUUUUCUUCACCUUGAAGAUAUAGAGGCGUUGUUUAUACGGCGAGAAAUGUCACGUGUAUACUGAUCUCAAAAGCUUAAAAUAUUUAAUGACCCAUAAAGAACUGGAUCUGAGACAGCGACGUUGGUUAGAGCUAUUGAAAGAUUAUGAUUUGGUUAUUGAUUACCAUCCGGGAAAGGCUAAUAUGGUUACUGAGGCACUCAGUAGAAAGUCAUCAUUGUUUGCACUUCGAACGUUGAAUGCUCAUUUGGCUUUGAAUGUUGAUGGUUUUGUAUUAGCGGAAUUGAAGACUAAACCCUUGUUUCUACAAUGAAUUCAAGAAUUUCAAAAUGAUGAUCCAAAGUUGAUAAUGAAACGAAACUUGGUUUGGGAUAAUUUGACUAUAGAAUACAGUAUUAGUGAUGAUGGUACAUUGCAUUACCGCGAUAGAAUUUGUGUUUCGAAUAAUUUAAAUUUGAAACGUGAUAUACUAUCAAAGGCUCACAGUAGUACAUAUUUCAUUCAUCUGGGUAGCACAAAGAUGUAUUGUGAUUUAAACAGAUGUACUGGUGGCCGGGUAUGAAACGUGACAUUUAUGAGUUCGUAGCCAAAUAUUUGAUUUUUUCAACAAGUAAAAGCAGAACAUCAGGUGUCGUCGGGAUUAUUACAGCCUGUUAUGAUUCCUGAAUGUAAGUGGGAGCAACUUACGAUGGAUUUCGUAUCUGGUUUACCUGUAACUCCGAAAAAGAAAGAUUCGAUCUGGGUGAUUGUUGACUAAUUGACUAAGUCGGCCUAUUUUAUUCCAAUUAAAAAAAAUUACUCACUUGGGAGGUUAGCGGAAUUGUAUGUGUUAGAAAUUGUGAGGUUGUACGAAGUUUUGAGAUUUAUUAUUUUUUAUUAUGAUCUGCGGUUUACAUCGUGAUUUUGGAGUAAACUUUACGAGACUUUGGUCACUAAACUCAAUUUCAGUACAGUGUUUCAUCCUCCGACGGAAGGACAAUCAAAACGAGUAAUUCAGACUUUAGAAGACAUUCAACGGUGUUGUAUUCUUGAGUUCGAAAGUAGCUGGGAAAAAUAUCUACCGUUAGUUGAGUUCGCUUAUAAUAACAAUUAUUAGUCCAGCAUUAAAAUGGCACUAUUUGAAGCUUUAUAUGGAAUAAAAUGUAAAACGUCGUUGUAUUGGUCCGAACUGAGUGAAGCUAAAAUGGUAGGGAUUGAUUUGAUUUAAGAAAAUGAAGACAAAGUUUGAAUUAUUCGAGAUUGUUUCAAAGUUACGUCUGAUUGUCAGAAGUCGUAUGCAGAUUUGAAAAGAAAAGAUAUAAAAUUUUCUGUUGGUGACCGGUUAUUUUUAAGAGUUUCUUCGUGGAAUAAGGUGUUGCAAUUCAGCAAGAAAGGAAAGUUGAGUCUGAAAUUUAUCAAGCCAUAUGAUAUUACCAAAAGAAUCGGUCAUGUACCUUACAUAUUAGCUUUACCUCCUGAACUCGAGAAAAUUCAUAAAGUGUUUCAUGUUUCAAAGCUAAGAAGGUAUAUAUCUGAUCCUUCACACGUGCUUCCUCAAAGUGAAAUUGAAUUUCAACCAUAUUUGACGUAUUCUGAAGAGUCUGUGAAAAUUUUGACUUGGGAAGUCAAAGAGCUUCGAAAUAAAUGAGUAUCGUUGGUGAAAGUUUUGUGGCAUCCUCAUGGUACUGAGGAAGCUACCUGGGAAACCAAGGAAUCGAUGAAAUUACAAUAUCCGAACCUAUUUUCAAGUAACAAUUUUGAGGACAAAAUUUCCUAAGGGGGAGAGUUAUAACAACCUAUUUUUCAGUGGUGAUGGAAUAGUGAUUUCAGGACCACAAAUUCCCAUCGUGUCAACUCGUAAAUAUAAUUUAUAGAAUAUUUACGGAGUCAUUAGACUCGUAUUAAAAUUUAGUUAAGAAAUUUUAACGUUUAGAUAUAUAAUUAAGUAAAAAGGACUAAAUCGUAAAAAGAGUAAAAGUUGAGUUCUGUUAGUUAAAGGGAUUUAAUAGCUUUGAAAUCUUAAAUUAAGGGACUUGAAUGGUAAAUAAACCAUUUAAUGAAUUAGUGGGUGUGCAUGGGCUUAUUGAAAUUAUUGAUUAAUGAUAAGGGUAAAGUGGUAAAUUAACACUUAAAAAUAAAAUUAAAUAAGAAAAGAUGAAAAAAAGUGAUCAUCUUCAUGCUUUUGUCUUUGGAGAACUGAAAUUCACCAUUGAAGAGGAGAUAAGCUUCGGUUUGAAUUCUUCUUGCAUGGUAUGUGCAUUUGAUCCCGUUUUGAAUGAUUUUUAUGUUUUUGAGAUUGUUGCAACUAGGUCCAACUAGCCCGUACCUUCAUUUUUGAAACGGUUAAAACUUUUAAAAUUUGCCAUUGAUGAAUCUUGAAUGUUUUUUUAUGACAACUAUGUAUUUGAAGAUUUGAUUGUGGUAUAUGGUUGUUUUGUAAAGUGAUUUUUGUUAGAUUUUGAUUUAAGGAUUAAAUUUUUAAAAUGUCAAAAUUUCAAGGUUUGAUGGUGAAUUUGAUGUGUAAUAAAGACUGUUAAAGGGCCUAGAAUAAUCAAUUGUAGUUUGAUUCUUAUAAAAUGGUCAAUUUGAUGAUUUUUGGGUUAGAGGAUUAAAUUGUAAAAGUUGUAAAAGUUUACGAAAAAUGUGUAAUUAAUGAAAAUUUAAGGUUCAUAUGCAUUGAAUAGAAUGUGAAAUGUGUAUGAGAUUAACAUAUUAUAUUUAAUUAUUAUAUAGAUCAAAACUUGGAUAAAAAAGACAAUAACCGAGGAAAAGGGAAAAUAGCAAAUUAAUCCCUGCGUGUUGGUCGGAAUCAAAUAGUAGGUAAGUUCAUAGUGUUUCAAUAUGUAAAUGAAUUUGUACUUGUAUUCUUGCAUUAUAGUUCUUUAAUUAAAUGUUUACAGUUAACAAUUGAAUGAAUGCACAUAAGUGCGUCUGUUUGUACUUCGGUACCCUUGAAUGCACAUAAGUGCCCCUAUUUGUACUUUAGUACCCCUGAAUGCAUUUACGUGCCCUGUUUAUACUCCGGUAACUCUAAAUUAUAUAUUAUAGGAACUGUAUUUGAUUUUAUUUAAAUUAAAUGUUAUACUAUGUCCUUGCAAAGCUUUGUAAGCUUAUCGGUUCUUAUGGAUUAUCUUGUAGAUAAUCAUUGCUGACAUUUUGGAAGGAUCAUUCAACUGGCUCACACUAUCCAUCUAAGUUGGUAGUUUUUUGUAUCUCCUAGGGUAGUGGCAUGUAUAAAUUUAUUUAAAUGAAUUUGUGGUUGAAAUUUAUAGGGUGUUUAUAAUCGAGUUUGAUGAAUAUGUAAAGGAUAAUUUGGUAUGUUUGUGUCUUGAUGUUUAAGUAAGGUUGAUGGACUUAUAAUGCCUGUUAUGUAAGUCUUUUUGGUCACUGUUGGUAAUUGAUGUGUAUGUCCUUUUGGUAUGAUGAUGUUGGCUUUGAAAUGGUCGAUUUGUGGUAGGUUUUGGUAAGUGGUUGAAUUAAGUUAUGGUGUUUGAAAUAAGGAAUUGUUGAUUUGUUUUGGCAUGUUAUGUUUGGUUGUUAAUUGUGGUUCCUUUGAAUGGCAUAUUGGUUAGUUGAAUUAGGAUCUUGAAGUGGCAUUUUGAUAUGUGUUUGAGCGAUGAUUAGGCCCUUUUAAAGUGUGAUUAAAAGGGUUGAAACGUUAUGCAUGAAUUGGCUUUGAAUUGGCUUGAUUUUAGUUAAAAUUUGGAUUCAUACGGCCUUAGACACAAGCGUGUGAUUCAACCAUGUGAGGCACACGACCUAGCGACAUGACCGUGUUUCAUUUGAUAGUUUCUUAGUCUAAAAGUCAGUAAGUUACACGGGCUGACACACUGGCGUGUAGGGCUACUCAAAGAGUUACACGGCUUGGCACACGGGCGUGUGACAUGACCGUGUAACCUUACUCAGAGAGUUACACUGGUGAGGACAUGGGCUAGGACACAAUUGUGUGUCCCUAUUUUGAAAGUCACACUGCCUAGGGCCAUGUCACAUGGCUUGGCCACGCGGCCGUGUGACCCCUGUUUUCAAAUUUUGUGACUUUUUCCUAAUCUUUCUAAAUUGUUUCAAAUUAGUCCUGAAUUGCUCCUAAGCUAUUUUUAGGGCCGCAAGGGCUCGAUUUAGGGACGGUGUGCAUGUGAAUGAUUGGUUUAUGAUAGUAUUAACAUGUUGAAUGAUAUGGGGUUUAAAUACUUUUUAUUGUACGGUAAUGCUCCAUAACCCUAGAUCAGUUUAUGAUAGUAUUAACAUGUUGAAUGAUAUGGGGUUUAAAUUAGUCGACGAAGAUGGCUUAGGAGUUUACAGAAAUGAACGAUGAUUUUUGAGUAAUGAUAUGGUUUAUGAUGAAAUGUGCAAUUGAAAGGAAAAUUUGGUUUAAUGUAUGUGUAUGAGGGAUGAAUUACAAAAGUGAAAUGUUAAAUAUGUUUUACACCAUGCUUUGAUUGGAUUUAUAUAUGAAAUGUUGCACCAAAUGAUUUUGUGAGGUGAUGUGUAUAGGAAAGGAAAAUUUCCUUAUGUUAUAAUGAAGUUAUGCUUGGUUGUUUAACUUAAAAUGUUCGGUAAGUUUAAGUUUCCUUGAUAUGAGCUUACUAAACACUAGUUUCUUAUGUUGUUUUCUCUAUCAUGCAGAUCAUCAGAAAGCUUGACUGGUUCGAAUCUCGUUACAGCACCAUCACACUAUCCAUACGUUAUUUUGGUAAUUUUUAUAGCUUUAGUUAUUGGUUAUAAAUGUCAUGUAAUAGGAGUUUAUUUUAUGCUAAUUAACAAUGUGUUGUGGUUUAAGUUUACUUGUCUAUAUGUCUUAAUGUUGGCUUAUAAAUGUAUAUGUAAGCAUGAGUUUUGUUCAUCUGUGAAUGCGUUGUGAUUUAGAUGGCUUUUGGUUCAUAGAAGUGUAAAUUAAGUGGUUAUACGGUAGAUGUGUGAGGUAAGUUUAAAAUAUGAAAUUAUGGCAUUGAGUUUGAGUUGAUUUGAAUAUUUUCAUGUGGUACUAAUAAGGGUACAUUGGUUGGUUGAUGGAAAUAGGUUGUGUAUGUGUGAUUUUGGCAUGUUUUGGUCUUGUUUUAGUGAAUUACUAAAUGGGUCUAAGAGUUUGCUAAUUGUAUACUUGUGGCCCAAUAAAACAUUUUUGGUAAACUUGAUUUUUAAGGUACAUUUUGGUACACCCAGCCUGAGACAUGGGCUAUCACACGGCCGUGUGUGUCACAUGGUUUGUUCACACGGUCGUAUGUAUUUUCAAGUUUCAGGUGCAGGUUUAACAUGGUUUCAGACACGACCGUGUGGCCCUAGUCAGUUAGUUACACAGUUCGGGAACACGGGCGUGUGUGUUAAACACACGACCAUGUUUUUAGACGCACGGGCUAACCUGUGUCACACGGCCUGGCCACAUAGGCGUCUGACCCCUGUUUUAAAAAAAUUCAAAUUUUACCUAAAAUUUAUGUUUUGAUUCAUUUUGAUCCCUGAUUGCUUUUAAGUUGUUUUUAAGGCCCCGAAAGUUUGAUUUAAGGCCUAAAUAAGUAUGUUUGCUAUGAUUGGAAUGAAUUAUUGGUAAUUAUACCUAAGUUGAAUUAUUUGUUUCGGGUUUAAAGUCAAAGGUUUUGUUUUGUACAGUAACACUCUAUAACCCUAAUCCAACGACGGAGACAAGUUAGGGAUGUUAAAAGAUUGUUGUUCUUGUGCCUCUCAAUUCCAACUUGCUUGUUAAUCGAACUCAACAUCUCGACUUAUGAUAAUCCUUCCAUUGUUUGGGUUAUUCAACUUGUAGCCUUUGGAGUUUGAGUCAUAGCCAAUGAAAACAAAUUUUAAACUUCGACCAUCAAGCUUCGAUCUAUCUUGGUCGGAUACAUGUGCAUAAGCAAUGCUACCAAACACCCGUAGAUGUCUAACACUUGGCUUUCUUCCACUCCAUGCUUCUUGAGGUGUUAGACGAUUCACGUUCUUUGUUGGAGAGCAGUUGGACAAGUAAACUACACAAGAAACAACUUCGGCCCAAAAUUCAUUGGGCAUAUUCUUUGCCUUCAACAUACAUCUAGCCAUGUUAAGAAUAGUUCUAUUUUUUCUUUCCGCUACAUCAUUUUGUUGUGGCAAUCUAAAACCGUUAAAAGAUUAUGAAUUCCAUGUAGUUUACAAAAAAUAAUUGAAUUGAUUGGAAUGAACUCAUUGAAUUGAUUGGAAGUGAUUUCACCUCCUCUAUCGAACCUUAAAUAUUUUAUCUCAUAGCCACUUUCUAUUUCAACAAGAGCUUUGAAAAUUUUAAAUCCAACAAAGGCUUCAGAUUUUUGCUUUAAGAAGUAAACCCAAGCCUUUCUACUAUAAUCAUAAUAAAAAAACAAUAAGUAUUUACUUUUACCAAAUGAUGGCAGAUUGAUUGGUCCACACACAUCGGUAUGAACAAGUUGAAGAGGCUCAGUUGCUCUUGAUGUUGCUUCUUUCGGGAAGCUUGAGCUUGUGUGCUUGCUUAGGAGACACGCCUCACAUAAUUGAUUAGGAUGGCUAAUGGUUGGAAUUCCUUUAACCAUCUUCUUUUCUCUAAGAACUUUGAGUGCUCCAAAAUUUAAGUGGUCAAAUCUCAUGUGCCAACACCAUGCUUCAUCCUUCACACUAGCCUUUAAGCACUUUGCUUCAAUUGUCUUGAGAUUUAACAUAAACAUUCUAUUCUUCGACAUGGAUACUUUAGCAACCAAGUUGGCAUAUUAAUCUCUUAACCAAAGGAAACAAUCUUUCAUGUGAAUUUCAUAACCCCUUUCAAGGAGUUGUUCCAAACUCAAGAUAUUGCUUUUUAACUUGGGAACAUAGUAAACAUUGGUAAUAAGGCUAUGACAACCAUCCUUUAGAGAAAUUAGAAUGAUAUAUUUCCCUUGGAUUUGGACUUUCGAAAAGUCCCCAAAUGAAACAUUACCUUUAACCUUCUUAUCAAGCUUCACAAAGGCCUCUUUGCAUCUGCACAUGUGAUUGCUUUCUCCAUUGUCAAGAUACCAUAUGUUUGCAUCAUUGCUUUCUUCAUUCUUAAGUGCUAGCAAUAAAGUUGGCUCUUCCACAUCUUGUUGAUCUUUAAUGAGAUUGACCUUUUCUUCAUUUUUGUUAGAAUCAUUUUGUCAUUUUGAAGAAAAAUGGUCAAAAUUAUGACAAUUGUAACAGUCAACACUAGACUUGUCAUACCACUUUUCAUUCGAUCUUUGAUAAUUACCUCUUCCUCUUCCUCUUCCUCUUCCUCUUCCACGAUUUUUAGUUGAUGGGUUCCCAUUAUCGUUGUUGUUAUUUUCACGAUCACCUAUUUCACGCCUUCCUUGGCCAUAACCUCGUCCGUGACCUCUUUGUUUCUUUUCUUCUCGACAAUCUUUCAAAAAUACCUUGGCUUUAAGAGCUUAUUCUAAGGACUCAUCUUGUCUCCUCUUAAAUUUGUCUUAUUGUGCUUGCAACUCAUCCAUUACUUGUUCAAUAGUCAUAGAGUUUAAAUCUUUUGACUCAAUGACACAAACCACAUAAUCAAACUUUGGAACAAAAUAAUAAAAGAUCUUUUCAAUAACAGAAACCUUUUCUAAGGUAUCUCCAUAUCUCUUCAUUUAAUUAACAAUAGCCAACACCCUUGAAUAAUAGUCCAAAAUUGAAUCAGUUUCCUUAUCUAUAAAGCUUCAAACUUACAUUGUAAUACUUAGAGUUGAAGCUUCUUCACUUUGUCAACUCCUUGAGAGAAAUUUGCAAAUUCUCUCAUGCUUCCUUUGCGGUGUUAGCACUAGCCACUUUCAAAAACAUCGAUUCAUCCAAACAUUGAUGGAUGAGGGUGAUGGCUUGUUGAUCCUUCUUCCUUGUUGUCGCCAAGACAUCCCUAUCUUUUUGCGACAAAGAUGCCUAAUCUUAAGGAAAAUCAUAAUUAUUUUAUAUGAUCUCCCAAAUAUCUUGUGAGCGAAGUAGAGCCUUCAUACGAAGGCACCAAUUUUUAUAGUUGUGUUUUUUAAGACGAGGAAAUUGAAAUGAAAACAUUUCAUUGUUGGCCAUCUUCUCUCAAUAUCGAACCAAGGUUUGAAUACCACUUUGUUAGAAGGAGGUGGAAGAGAAAUAACCUUUAGGAAAGAAUGAACUCACUUUGUAUUGAAUUUUGUUUUCUUUCACUCUCUCUUACCAUGCUUCAUCACAUACAACUAUUUAUAUAAUAGUUGUAAGUGACUAUUGAUUUCAACACAUUCAUGUAUCCUAGUUAAGUAUAUGCAUGAAUACUAGAUACAUGUACUCUAAAUACAUUCAUUAAAUACAAGUACUUGUAAGUAAUGAACAAAGAUAUUUUAGAAUGUUACAAAUUAUAAUAUUCAACACUUCCUUCUCUAACUUUCUAUAACUUCUCCAGUCUAUACACCUUUGAACCAAACUAAAUAUGCAAUAUUAAGUUUAAAUUUUAAAUGAGUAGGAUAUGAGGUAGAUGUAAGUAAUACUAAUAUGCUUAUGUGGAAUAUCAAGAUUGAAAAAAAAAGGUUGCGUUACUGUUUCAUCCAACUUUUAACGAUACAAUGACUAAAAUUUUAAAAUUUAAUAAAAUAAAUUAAUAAUUAAAAUAAAAAAUUUUAAACUUGAAUGACUAAAAUAGAAACACACUCAAAGAUGGAUGACAAAUAGUAUAUUUUAUCCUACUUAUUUUUAUGAGCUAAAAUGGUUGUAAAAAAUCCAAGAGCUAUUGAAACACCUGGUCUCCCUUCCAUAUAUGCAAGCGCUAACCAAACACUUUGUUAAGCUUACUAUUUUUUCAUCAACAAAGUCUGAAGUGAAAACAAUUCAAAUCGAGCCAAAAUGUUGAUGCUAUACUGCAACAGGAUAUUAAAUGAAGUAAUAUAUAUACACUUGUAUAUCAGAAAGGUGCAGCAUAAAGAAAUGCUUUUAAGUUGUAGAUACGACUUUACUGAAUCUAAAAGUGGCUUACACAUGUAUUACUUACAAGACUACACAACUUCAAAGGUUAAUAAAGAAAAAGCUGAUCCUCAUGUUUCGAGACACUAAAUUCCAACUCUCAAAAUGACUCUUCCAUUGAGGUUUUGGAAAUAACGUGAAAGGCAGUGGUCAGGCAAGUGCCAGGUCCAAAACCCAAAUUUAUUAAAACAAGUGAAACACAAAACAUAUUUGUGAAUUGUGACAUUUGAAGGUUUCAUUUAACCGCAUGGCACCAAUGGCAUGCACCCAUUCCAUGCAUUGAUAGGGUACCAAAUGCUUAAUAACCUUUUUUGUUGAACACCUGAUAAAGUGCCCUUGGAGUAGUUAAUUAGAAUAUGAUCUAACAACUUCAAAGAAUAUAUAUUUAACAGAUGAAGAAUAACAACAAUUACAUGUGUGGGAUAUUAUGGACUAACGCAUAAAAGGAUGCUUUAAAAAUGCAGUUGUCUUUUCAACAAAUAUUAUCACUCCCGGGACCAACUCCAUGACCGAAGUGCAUAGGAUCUCCGGCAAAGCCUUCCAUGAGAGCGAAUUUCAUAUCCUCGGAAGGUUUCCAGUGCCGCUUCCUCUGGUUGAUAAACCAAUUGUUGAUUUGCUUCUGAUCUAGUCCUGUUAUCUCUGAUAAUUUCAAUUUAUCCUCCUCCUGCGAUCACCACAAACCCUUCCUAACCAUUAACCCCUAGAGAAGCAUAUCAAACCUUCAAUAAAGUGUAAUCUAGAAAUAGAAAAGAAAAAAAAAAAUUCCAACUCCAUACCUACUCAGUAAUGCUUUUCAAAGAUGAUUACAUUUUUAAGGCCAAAAGAAAAACAUGAUGCUCAUGAUGUUAAUUUAGCUAGCAAACAAUAUCUUCAGUAAAAGCAUCACGAAGUAUCGAAUUGCAUUUUACACAUUUCACUCAAAAAAUAGAUAAAUUAGUCCUGCAUGUUAGAUCAAAAAGUAAAUUGGUCAUUUUUAUCCAUUCUUAUUGUCAAAAACUAACAUGUCUGUCAAAUAGUUACAUGUGAAGUGUUACGUAUAAUUCAUGUAAAAUAUCAAAUGUACAAGAACUAAUUUACCCAUUUUUUAGUAAAUAGGGCAAAAUGCAAUAUAACUUUUAAUACAAAAGUCUUCAUAGUAAUUUCCACCCAAUAUCUUCCUACAUCCCAAAUACAUGAAAAGGAACGCCCCCUCAACCAUAAUGCAAAAAGAAUAAAUGAGUUCCGGCACUCCUUCAAUGGCUCUUCGGGUAUGUUUAGUAUUGCUUUUAAAAAAUACUUUUGGGACAAAAAACACUUUUAAGAUAAAAAUAUUUCUAAACAAGUUACUGUUUUAGAGAAAAAUACUUCUCCCAAGCCAAAAAUGGGCCCAAAAACACUUUUUUAAGAAGCUGGAAAUUCUAGUUUCUCCCCAAAAAUACUCUUUUCCAAAGCCUUACUCUUUCAUUUUUGUAACAUAAUAGUUGAAGACAAACUUUCCAAGACAUUCUUGUUAACUGUCAUUGUUGUAGGACUUAGUUGGGUUGAAAAGAUACUAAAAGAAGUGUACGUUUGGUGGAUAUGAUUUUAAUGAACAACUGAAUUAGGGUUCAAAGACAAUGCAGUGGUCUUCCUACUGAUUCUUUUCCGUGAAAAGUAACCCCAAAGAGGGCAAAUAAGCAUUUAGAAAUGAAAAGUUUUCCGUUUGAAUUGAAUUAGCUACAAUAUUUUUCUCUCUCCUUUCACGAAAUUCCAUUGAAAUUCAUCAAAUACUGCAUAGGCAAGAAUGAAAGAAAAAAAGUACAAGAGAAGAGAGAGCAAUGUUAAGUAGGAAAUAAGUUGUAGUGUAAUUACCGUUGGAUAAGGCCAUCUAUAAUGAUUGUUCCACCAAUCAAGCAGUGUGACCCUUGCUUCUUUUGGUAGCUUACCCUUUUUCCUUUUCUUCAAGAAUUCUUUCCUCAAACUGCUGAGAUAGCCACCGUAUUUGCGCAUCAGCAUUCCUUUAAUGUCCUGCCUUCCACACUCAUCUUGAUUUUCAAAACCUUCUACCUCCCCACCACUUAACUCUUCCACAGAACUCCCACCACCUUCAUCUGAAAAGAAAUGCACAUAAGAUGGAUAUCCCAGUCAUCUUUUUGGUUCUUGUUGGAUCAAUGGAAUGCCGAGUAGGAGCAUGUUAUAUAUGUUAUGGGGUUCUUAAGCGUUUUUGGUACUUCUGGUUUUGAGGUGUUUUUCUUUCUACAUUGGACAUGAUCUUAGAGUUCUCUUGCUCUUAGAUUUUUCCAUUCUUGGAUGGUUUUCAACUCUUUGUAUUCUUAGUUAAAUUCUCAAUUGGAAAAAGAAAAAAGAAAGAACAACCUAAGCAUGAUCAGCAAAAUAGGUGAGUAGACAAGAGGAAGUUUGGUUGGUUCAGGUUACCUUACAUUUUCAAAAGUAAUAAGUAGUGCAAGAUUCCAAGGCAAUAUUUAUUCUAUAACAAUUUUACUACUCGUAUAAUUUUGGUCAACAAGAUCCUUUCAUUUUAUAACAUUUUUAUAUAUUUUUUUAUAUAUUUUUAAAAUUAUUAUAACAUAAUAUUUUAACUUAAAACGUUAAUCAAAAAGAUAAAAUUUUCCGUUAUUAUAAUUAAUAUAAAUAGUAUAUUAAUCACAUUUAAAUAUUGAUUUAAAAUUUACGAAAAUUUGUGUAAUAAUAUUUGGUACAGUGAAAUUUUUAAACUCCAUAAGUAGAUUUAAGGAGUUUCGAGUAUCUUAUAAAAGUAUAGUAAAUUAUUAAAUAUACAUAUUUAAAAAAGAAAGACAUCAAUUUUUUAAGAUUGCUUAUGUACCAAAUACUCACCUAUUAAUUAUUAUAAUAUUACUUUAAAUGUAAUAUUUAGAUUUCUAUAACAAAAAAUAAUGAUUUAAAAUUAUGAAAAUAUGGAUAGUGAUAUAUAGUACAAUGAAAUUUUUAAACUCUAUAAAUAGAUUUAAAAAGUUACGUAUGUUAUAAGGGUAUAGUAAAUAAUUAAAAAUAUAUAUUUAAAAAAUAUCAAUUUUUUAAGAGGGCUUUGUAUGCCAAAUACUCUGUCUAUUAUUAUAAUAAUAUUACUUUAAAUAAUGUAAUUUUUAGAUUUCUAUAACAAAAAAUAGAAUGUGAAGCUUUAAAAAAGGUUUCGUGAACUUUCAGAUGAGUCCAAUUAAUGUUGAAGAAAUUAAAUUUGUUAAGAAAAAAAAUUCUAAAACAAUAGUAAUUUAGUAGAACAUUUUUUUCUUAUAUUUUAAUUAAAUAAACCAAACAGAAUAUCAAUUAUGUUUUAAAUAAUAUUAAAUUUUCGCAAUCCUAUUACUAAAAAUUCUUUAACUAAACUCGGAUUUUCAACUCAAUGAUAGUUAAUGAGGGAAAAGAAUAUCUUUUACAUGCACAGUAGAAAGGAGAUUGAGCUCUUUAGAGAUCACUAUAUAUACAUUGAUUCUUUUUUUUAAUGCAAAAGCACACUACUUAUAGUAUUAGUAUAAUAGCAAAUAUGUACAUAUAAUUUUGGAUGAGAAAAUGCACUGUUAGAAAAACUUUACCAAAGGGAUAAUCCAAGUUCUUUGUCAGUGCUCCUUUACAGAGAUCACUUAGCUGUGAUUUGAUGUUGCUUAAGAACGUUGUCGCUUCAUUGAAUGGCUUUGAUAGCUCUUCUUUGUAUCUAUGGAGAACCUCACAAUAUGAUUCCUUCAACCAAUUAAACAACAAAUGAAAACCAAUAAUAAUAAUAAAAAGGUCAUCCAACUAUUUAUUCCAUGCAAACAAGUAUUCUUCUCUCUCUUUCCUUGCAUUUUCUCGAGAACCAAACAAAACAUAAAAAUAGUUUGAAGUACCAUGAACUCGUCCAGUUCAGGAUCAGCUCCUAUCUCACUGCAAACAUUUACAGACCGGUUCUCACGGCCAAUUUCUUCAAGAAGAGAGGCCAGCUUAGGCGGUGCUCCAACCUAUAUUUAAAAAAAAAACAUUUAUUAUUAUAAUUAAUCUUAAAAAACCAGAAAAAAAAGGGUUAAAAACACAAAUAACCACCUUUUGGCAUUCGAUGUAAGCAGAUACUAGGUUUGGAUAACGAGGGUGAUUCGAGAUCUGGGACUUGAUCAGACCAGACAUAUGGGAUCCAGUGGCAUCUGUAUCAACUUCUUGAUCAUCAAAUUGAAGUAAAUGAUCAACUGGACUGAGAAAAUCAGCUGCAGUAAAGUUUGGUGCAGCAAAGUUAUUCACCCUUGCAAUACCAUUAGAACACGAGAUUAUAGGAUCAUCAAGUCUAUACAAAUCCUCCAUGCUCACCAAACAAAAUUUAACAAAAUAGUAGUCUAUUAAUUAACUCCUUUGAAGGCAACUUGGGUUUUGAGUAAAAAUCUGUAACUUGCCCUAGGAUGUAUCAAAUAAUAAGCUUAGAGUAACCCUAGAAAUGCAAGGUUUUGAGUCAUUGUACACCAAGGAACUAGUAGUUCAAGAAACAGUAGCAGCCAUUAGAGAAAGCAAAGAGAGGGAGAAGGAGGAGGAGGGCCAAGAAAGCUAGGGAGGAAGCAAAAACAUCUGAGAGGUCAGAAAAAGUGGUUUUCUCAUCUUAGCUGAAGUUGAAGUAAUGACAAGGACCAGACCUUUGCUUUUUCUUUUCCAAUAAGGCCUGAGAGAGAGAGAGAGAGAGAGAGAGAGAGAGAAUGUUGGGUGCGGAUUACAUUUUUUACACAUUGCGGAGAUGUGGUAUCAUUGAUAAGAGCGAAAAACAAGGGGGAGGAGGGGGCUUAAACACUCACCACACGUGUUCCCACGCUCUGCAACAGUGAUCACUGUUCCAUCACUCAUUCACUCAUUUAUUAAAACCCUAAUUUAUUUAUUACUUAGUUAGGAGGCCGUGCUUUACUUUGAUUGCGUAGAACUAAGGUGAGGUAAAUGAAAUCUCUGUGCUGAUAGACAUGCCAUUCUGCCACGUUUCUUUACGAAAUUGGUUGUCUUACUGAGAUGUUAGCCCCUACAAAAAUAUUAUGGGAAAUGUAGUACACUGCAGCGAAAUACACGGUGGUUUUGCACAACACAUCAAAGUAAACAAUUUCCUUUUCAAGUUUCAAACAAAUUUCAUUUCACAAAGAUGAGUUGUUAUAAUGUCAAUCAAAUGGUAAAUGACUAAAAGAUAAAAAGAGAAGUUGAAAAGAAGCUAACAACAUCUUAGACUAGUAGUAAGAAUAUUAAAUUGCGAGUAUGAUAUGAUCUGCAAUAGGAAUCACCAAGACAGUAAUAUAGCACAAGUUCAUCCAAUAGAAUAGAAAAUUUCAGCAACCAAACUUCAAUAGCAGAAAUAGAGUCCCAAACAGAAUCGCAGAACAGAGAAGAAGAAAAGAAGAAAGGAAAGAAAGGUUCCCGUAUAAGUCUACUGAAGCUGGAAGGAAAUAGCUGCAGCCACAAGAUGAUUACAAUACUGACAUAAAAACUUUCCCUAGGUCAUCUAUUUUUUAUUUAUACACUCAAGAGUGUUGCCCAUUCCAACAAUAAACCAACUAAUACAACACAUAGUCCUUGAGAACCAUUGAAUUGGUCUUCUGACGCGUGGCUCUUCUGUUGGCUAAUGGUAUUUCAGUCAUUCCUCCAGGUGGCUUUUCCUCAACAAGAUUUUCCACAUCACUCAAUGGUUUUUGGUUCGUCACAUUACCCCCAUCUCCUAAAAAAACCUUGUCCUCAAGGUUCCAAGAAGGAUAUGCAGCUUGAAAAUCUAUUAGAGGAAUUAUUGCAGUUAGGAAAUGGUUAAGUAGUUCGCAGCAGUUGUGUGAUUCUGAUAUUUUGUUUUACAUUUGUUAUUACCGAUUGUAUCAGUAUAAAUACAGAAUUUAUGUACUCAUCAUUAAUCAAGAUUAAUGAAUUACUUAUUUUAGUCUAUUCUUUCAAUAUGGUAUCAGAGUUUCUCUUUUGCUGAUUGUUGCGUCAACAAUGGAGCCUGCCGCAUUGGCAGAAUCAGUAAAUGGCAAGUUUCUCUUUUGCUGAUUGUUGCGUCAACAACGCGUUACAUUGAACGGCUGGGUCAUUUCGCGGUCGUGGACGGGAUCGAUUUGGCAACAGAACACGACCGCAAUGUCAAAUAUGUGGCAAAAUCAGUCACGUCACCUGCCGGUGCUUUUACAGGUACGAUUCCACCCAUGAUGAGGAUGAAGAUGCAAACCCUAAUUCUGGUACUGGGUGUAUUGGCUCAUAUUCCAGUGGAUUGGUUUCUCCUGUGAGUUGCAGGCCUGAAUCAGCCUAUAUGUGUUACACUCACCAUGGGUCGUUUGAAUGCUCUUAUUCUGGGCCUCACUCUCACCAUUCAGUUAUUGGUCAUUCCAGCCCGUCCAAGGCUGCUUGUGUGGCUGCAGUUACUGUACGUUCCAUGCUAGCAACUGUUGCAUCGACAACCCCGUCCGUUGUGGCUGACCCUGCCAGGUAUCUUGAUAGUGGGGCCACGGCACACAUGACGAGUAACCCUGCCCAGUUCACCGACUCUCGUCCGUACCAUAGGUCAGGUAAGGUGAUCAUAGGUAAUGGUCACUCCAUUGACAUUUCUCAGGUUUUUUAUACAAAUAGGGUGAAAAAAAAAUCUAUUGAAAUAGGUGUCAAAAAAGUAUUUAUCAAAAUAGAUUAUUUUUUUAUUGGCGUCUAUCUAAUAAAAUAAUAAUAAUAAAAUUUUAAUACUUUUUUUAUAUUUUUUUAAUAAUUUUUUUAAAAAUACGGGUUAAAAUAUGGUGAACGGAUCGGGUCGGGUCGGGUCGGGUGGCGCCUAUCAGGUAGGCGCCAAUGAAGGUGCCUCAUAGAGAGACGCCAAUGGUGGCCUUCUACCCACCGCUACAUGGCUGCACAGCUGCACCAGCAGCAUGUCUUGUCCCUUCAAUUUUGUUUUUUUUUUUGCCUAUAGGUAAGGUCCCAAAACAGGGUAAAUUACACAUAAAAGCUCUAUUUUCUAAAAAUUUAUCGAAAUGGGUCCGGUAUUUUAUUAUUUACCAGAAUUGGUCAUUUUUCCCGAAAUCGCGUCCACGUCAGCGCGAUUACUUACGUGGCAACAAAUCGCAUUCACGUAAGCGCGAUUUGCUGACGUGGAAGCAAUAAUUCAUGAACAGUUGGUGUUUUUUAGCUUGGAAAACUUUGAAAGGCCAUAACUUUUGGCUCGAUUGUCCGAUUGAGACGAUUUUUUUUAUUUCAAAUAACUUUUCGAGAUCUACGAGCUGACAAACCGCCUUCGGCGGUUUGCCACAAUUUUCGUCGAAAAAGAUCCUUUUUUGCCUCUAAAUUUUGAUUUUUUCGGUUUAAAAUUGAAUUUUGAAACAUUCAAAUCAUUAUUUUCCUUAUUUAUUUGAAGUAAACACCAGAUUUUUUUUUACAAAAUUGUUGUAUUAUUUUUUCUGAUUUGACACGUGUAUGGAAUAGGUUCGAUAAAUUAUUAGAACGUAAGUAAUAUAAUUAAGAUAAUAACAGUAUUUUUAUAAUAUGUCAAUUAAUUAGUUUAGCUUAGUUGGUUAAGAUGCUUGCUCUUUUCCCUUAGUACCUUGGUUCAAAUCUUGUUGGUAAUAAUUUUGAAUCUUUUUUGUACUUGUUGCAUUUAUUUUUUUAAUCAAUUAACUCUUCAAUAUUACAUUAAUAUAUAUAUUAUUAGUACAAUAGUAUAGACGGAUUGACAAUUUGAGCUACAAUAUUAUGAAUAUUAACCACAAUACAUAAUUUGAGCUACAUAUUACAGUAAUACAUUAAUAUGUAUUAUUAGGGGCAAAAUACCAAAAAAAAGGGGCAAAUUACACAUAAAAGCCCUAUUUUUUUAAAAUUUACCGAAAUGGGCCUGGUAUUUUAUUAUUUACCGGAAUGGGUCAUUUUCCCCGAAAUCGCGUCCACGUCAGCGCGAUGUCAGGGGAUGUGUCAGCAAAUCGCGUCCUCGUAGGCGCGAUUUGUGUCCACGUAAGCAAAUCGCGCUGGCGUGGACGCGAUUUGUUGACACGUCCCCUGACAUCCCGCUGACGUGGACGCGAUUUCGGAGAAAAUGACCCAUUCUGGUAAAUAAUAAAAUACCGGGCCCAUUUCGGUAAAUUUUAAAAAAAUAGGGCUUUUUUUUGGUAUUUUGUCCCCCAAAACAUGCAAUGGGCACGGUAGAGAAAAAAAAAAGAGAAAGGAGAAGAAGAGAAGGAGAAGGAGAAGAAGAAGAAAAAAAAAGGUAAUGUAUUAUUUUAGUAAAUAAUUUUGUUUAUAAUUUAAAAAGUUUAUAGUUUGUGAAUUUUUUAGAAGAUAUUGUGAUUUUUUUGUUAUUAAUUAUUAAUUAUAAAUUAUCUAUAUUUAGUGUUUAUAGUUUGGAUUAGAAUUUUGUAUGAAUAUUCUAAUUUUUUUUGUAUGAAUAUUGUAUUUUUUUAUGAAUAUUGUAAUUAUUUUAUAAUUAAAUUUGUAUUUAUAGUUUUGGAUUAGUAUUUUGUACGGAUAUUGUAAUUUUUUGUAUGAAUAUUGUAAUUUUUUUUGUAUGAAUAUUGUCAUAUUGUAAUUUUGUAUGAAUAUUGUAAUGUCGAGAUAUAUUAUAAUAUUGUAAUUUUUUGUAUGAAUAUUGUAAUUAUUUUAUAAUUAAUUUGUUAGUAAUUUAUAUAAAUUAUUGUGUGUGUAAUUAUUUAAAUUUAAUUUAUUAGUAAUUUAGGAUUAAGCUAUAAGUUGUAGUGUUUAGUUUAGUAUUUGGUGAGUUUAACAUAUAAAGUUUAUAAAAAACUUAAAAAUCAUUUUAUUAAAAGUUUAAUUAUAAAAAAUUAAAAUUUAUUUUAUUAAAAGUUUAAUUAUAACUGACUUUUUUAAUCAUAUAGUUGUUAACUCAUUUAAUUUUUAUAUAAUGUAACUUUUAUAUAAUUAAAUUUUAUUUGAUUUUGUAUUUAUUUAACAGUAAUUAUUGAUUUUUUUAAACAAAUUAACUGAAUUCAUUUUUUUGAUUGUAGAUUUGCAGGAAAUGAGUUCUCUAAUUAAUAAUAAUAAUCACAUAUCAAGUACUAUUAAUGAGAUGGUAAUAAAAUGUUUAUUUGAUAUUCAUGUUAUUUGUUGAAUUAAAUUAUAUUGUAUUAACUAUUUUGCUAAUUUAAUAAUGCCAGGGUCCGUACCGCGUAUUGAGGGGCCGUGUUAAUAGUGUAGGGUUUCAGCCAGAUGAACGCCUAAUACCAUACUUAGAGUUAGCCGGAUUCAGAUCAGCGGCAUUGAUUCGGACUUUUGAUCUGCGAUACGACUUGAUUUCUGCUUUAGUCGAGCGAUGGCGUCCGGAGACCCACACAUUUCAUUUGUCGUGCGGAGAGUGUACCGUCACUCUAGAGGAUGUUGCAGUACAACUCGGGCUUCCCAUAGACGGGAAUGCGGUCACGGGCGUAAGUUCAAUCUCUAGGCCGGCUGCCCUUUGCAAUAAAUUACUUGGACGCUCGCCAAGUCAAGGAAAAUUUACCAAUUUCAGAUUUUCAUGGCUAAAGGCCAAUUUUGAGCAUUUGCCAAGUACUGCUAAUGAAUGGGAGGUGAUGCAGACUGUUCGAGCUUACAUUAUGCACCUUAUAGGGGGUGUACUCAUGCCGGAUGCAAACGGCAGUAAGGUCCACUUGAUGUACUUACCCCUAUUAUCCAACUUGCAUAACACUCGUUUAUACAGUUGGGGGUCCGCAGUUUUAGCCAUGCUGUAUCGCAAACUUUGCCGGACGACAGAUCCUUCUGCGGUUGACAUAGGCGGAUGCCUCACACUGCUGCAGUCAUGGGCACUUUACCGGAUGCCAUUCUUGGCAUCCAUUAGUCAUCAAUCAUAUGUAUUUCCACUCGUUAAUAGGUAAUGAAUUUUUACUCAUUAUAAUAAUUAGUUGACUUUUUUAUAUUGUAUUAUUCUAACAAUUUGUUUUCGUAGGUGGAGUACUAAUCCGGGUAUCGGGAGGUCAUCGACGGUUCCGAUAUAUCGUCUAAUGAUUGAGAAUCAUGCUGGAGAGGGGGUAAGUUUUUCGAAUAUAAACUUAAUUUUAUUAUUUUAUCUCACUCGACCUGCGUUAAUAUAACAACGUUAUUAACUGUGCAGUUUAUUUGGAUGUCGUAUCCUGCUCCGGAAAUUAUGGCAGUUAUGCCAUCAUCUGCCUACGUCCACUCAAACAUAUGGUGUAUUAGUGCACCCAUUAUCAAUUUUAACAUAGUGGAGUGGUAUCAUGGCAAUCGAGUACUCCGGCAGUUCGGUUGCAUACAGUAUAUCCCAACACUGCAGUACAAUUGGGGGAGAUCCAUGGGAUGAGCAAGAGGGGGAGGUAUGGAGAUAAUUGGGGAGAAGUGCACGAAGAAUAUAUUACGAUAUGGAACAACCGGUUCGGGAGGGUACCUCAGAUGGAUCGUGCUCCGGAUUUCCAGCCCUCGUUAGAGUACAUACAGUGGUACUGUGAGACAGGGAAACCAUUUCUGUUUGGUGGGCGCUCGAUUGUAGUCCCUCCACAUACUCCUCUCAUCCCGGAUCAAGUUCAUCGAUGGCAUUUGAGACAUAUGAUUAUUCAUCUAUGUUUCACACACCCUAACAUACUGUUGAGGAGAACGUUGAUAAUCGUAAUCGCCCACAAUGUGAGUGUCGAGCUCCACAAAAAUAUACCCCUAGAACCACACCAUCAAACCAUCAAUUUUAAGGGUUUUUGUAAUAAACAACCUCAUAUUUAUGUAAUGAUUUUUUUAUGUAAAUAAAAUUAUAAUGGUUUUUUAUGUAAAUAAAAUUAUAAUGUUUUUUUUAUUUUACAAUUUCAAAUUGCUCCAUAACUGCAACAAAUUGUAGACAAUUUUGUGAUUCAAACCAUCUUUAUGUAAUGAAGUACAUAUCAAUUUCUACCCGAUUGAGACGAUUGUCUAACAUGGUAGUUUCGGAGAGGACAUUUACUCCGAUUAUGACCGGCUAAUCUGCAUACGCCACACAAAUUCUGGAAGAUUUCUCCCUAAUGUCCAUUUCGUUAUGGAUUCUAGAUUAUUGCGGACGACCUUUCAAGUUUCUACGCAACCUUUUGUCUGGGACUAGCUUGAAGGUCGUCGGAGGUACCUCCCAAGUAGAUAGGUCAGGAAGAACGGGGAACUCGUUUUCCUAUACACGCAACGUGCGUUCGAUGGUGUACACUUCAUCGAUAAAUUGUUCUACAUUGAGCCCAACUUCAGCACAAGCUGGCACGACGUGUGCACAUGGAAAAUGAAGUGUUUAAAACCUCCUACAAUCGCACCGUCUAUUUUGGAGAUCAACUCCGUAAGACCUAGGUGGUAUACUAGGUCGACAACCGAUGGUCUCUGUAACUCGAAACGUUUCAUUAUGUCGUGAAUAUACUUCUACCGUCAUCGACCUCGCCAUUCGAUGGUUUACAACCAUUGCAUCCCUAAUGCCUUCGAUAAAGACAUGUCCCGCCUCCAUCUAGUUCACUUGUUGCUGACCCAUUCUUGGUAUCAAGGUAGCCAACCUGUAGAAUGUUACCGAGAAGACAGAUGAAAUUGGAAGAUGUCGUGUUUUUAAUAACACAGCGUUGAUCCCCUCCACUAAGUUUGUAGUCAUUUGACCAUAACGACAGCCCUCGCCAAAACUUUGAGCCCAUUGCCAUGGCUUCAUGGUACCCAGCCACUGCCGGAAAGAUGUGUUGGUUUGACCCUCCAUGUCACUCUCAAGCCGGGCCAUUCUUUGGCGAAAAAUGUGUGGCUCUAGCUCGUACACUGCAUAUGUAUUAAAAAAAUUUAAGUUACAGUAUUGCUCUAAAACAUUAAAACUUAUAUUGAAAAGAUAAGGUAAUUCUUUACCCAUUCUCAAAACUUGUCUCUUCCAGUCUGCAUUCUUAUAAUCUCACUGGAAGUUAGCCGCGAUGUGCCGGAUGCAGUAAACAGAUCUCCAUGGUACACCAGAACGCCUAAUGGCUGCAAUUAAUCCUUUCCUUCUAUCGGAAAUGAUGCAAAUAUUAUCAUUGCUAAUAACAUACCUCUGCAGGUUGGUAAGAAAGAACUCUCACGAUUCCAUGUUCUCCUUAUCGACGAUGGCAAAUGCUACCGGGAGCACGUUCCUGUUGUCGUCUUGAGCAACCGCAAGAAGUAAGAUAUGUGUGUAUUUAAAUAUAGCCAGGUUCCAUCUACUUGCACAAAUGGUUUGCAGUGGGGAAAUGCACGUACACAUUGAUCAAACGUCCAGAACAUCCGAUGGAAAAUUCUUUUUCUCGAUUGUUGUUAGUCAUUUGGCCCGUAAUAAGAUCGUGUCUGCAACUCAAUUACAGUCCCUGGCACGUGUUCCCUCAUAGCGGCUAUCCAUCCCUGUAAUUCAUUGUACGAUGCAUCGAAAUCUCCGUAUAAUUGCUCCAUUGCCAUCUGUUUAGCUAUUCAUGCCUUCCGGUAUGAUACUCGAUACUGGAAUCGUGCUUGUAUUUCAGCAAUCAGUACCGAAACUUUAAUGGUCGGCAUGUCUUUCACCGUUGGCAUGAUGCAUGUACAGAUAGUUUUGGAGUCAAGUUUUCGAUGAUCUUCUGUCAUAUGUGUUGAAGUGCAUGUGUGGGGCCCAACAAAUUUUCGUAUCUUCCACAUCUGUGACUUCUGCAUAAAUGCAGCUCAUAUCCGCCAAUUGCAGCCUUCUGCCGACCUCCAACACUCUCCAAUAUACAAUGUUGGUUUAGACUCGAUGACUUUGUAAUCUACUGAUAUAUUCAUGCUAUACCGCUUAAUGGCAAACAUGCAUUCUUCCUUACUUUCAAAUCUCUGGCCCACGCAUAACUCCUCUGGAUCAGAAUAUACGCCCAUUCGAUUAGCAUGUGGUAUUUCAGGGUACUCUGGAAACUCAGCUGCCCGUGCCGCAUUGAGGUCUAUCCGAGACAUGUGUGCCCAAGGAUUAUUGUGUAUCACAAUACGACGAAUUUGGUUUCCGACUGAAGACGCAUUAACGUUUCCAUCCUCAUUCACGCCUUCAUCGUUAAUAUCAUCCAGGACCUUGUCCGCGUUGGGAUCACUCUCACUAUCCACUUCGUAAUCAACAGGAUCACUACUAUAAUAUACAUCAUCACCAACCACAUCAGUCUUGGCUGCAGCAUUAGGAUCAAUAUUUAUCCCAUGUAUAGUUGCUUGACUAUCAAUAUACGAUACUGGAACCACCAUACACGGCGCUUCAACUCUAUCUUCUUCACCUAAUGGAGUGGGAACUUCAGUUGCCUCCACACCGGCUAACUCAGCAAAUAACUGAAUCAGUGCAUUUUUGUUACUCUGAGUCCCAGAAUAAAGAGCGACCAUUGUCUCCACAUCUUCAUCGUCUACAAGUUCCAUUUCGGUAAAUUUUAUUGGAUCUGUUGAAACUGGAAACUUGUAGAAAACUUUUGAUAUCCUUCUCCCACAACGUCUAUAAAUUUUUUCACUAAUUUUUCCUUCAUAUCAUCAAACAAGAUAUUUCUAUCAAAUCUCAUUGCUACUUGUUUGCGACAUUCAAAUAUACAUCCCACAGUUGUUGUCAAAAUUUCUCCAUCGAAAUAAACGCAUACAAAAAACUGAUUCUCCAUUUUCAAUACUAGAUCUGUUAAAAAGAAUUUCAAAUUUCUUAAAACAGUUUCAAAAUGUAAACAAAUUACAUAAAAAUUUUAAUGCAAAAUUUUUCAUUCAGAAGCUAACAAAAUUAAUAACCUGACAAAAUAACUUUCAAAUAAUAAAAUUACUAACAAGACUCUACAUUCUAUUUAAAAAGAAAUAAACCAAAAUACCUUAUUUUUUUCUUAUUUUCCUUCCUUCUUUUCUUCUUUUCCUUCCUUCUUUUCUUCUGCUUCCUUCUUUCUUAUUUCUUCUGUUUCUCUAGUAAAAUUUAUGUCUGUGUUGGGGGUAUUUAUAGGGAAAAAUCAGAGCAUUGGCGCCUCUCAGUAUGGCACCAAUAAUGGCGCCUCCCAGAUAGGCACCACCAUUGGCGCCUCUAAUACUAUGUAUUAUACGGGUUAUAUACUGACCCGGGAAAAUAUUUAAUUAUAUUUUAUUAAAAAAUUCUAAUAGGCUCCAAUGAAAAAGUAACCCAUUUGGUAAAUACUUUUUCUGACACCCUAUUUCAGUAGAUUUUUUUUUCACCCUAUUUGUGUAAAAAACCCACAUUUCUCAUAUUGCUAACUCUUUUUUUUCCCAUUGGUUAUGAUUCAAUGAUGCUUAAAGAUAUACUUUAUGUACUUGAUAAAAAAAUCUACUAUCAGUGUCAAAGUUUGCUAAGGAUAACAAAAUGUUUUUUGAAUUUUAUAUGGAUCGUCGCUUUAUAAAGGACAUAGAGACUCAUCGAAUAUUGUUUCGAAGCAUUGAGAAAGAUGGUUUGUACCAAUUUUCAUCUAACGCCACCCCUACUUUUGCGUUGUCUGCUUCACAUAUAGUUGCUGCUUAGUGUGCAGUGUCUCGAAAUAAUUUGUUUAAUGUGCAAUUAUACACAAUCAUUGACAAAUAAUAAAAUAGUGAAUAAGAGUUAUCGUCUCUAUAGAGACUGUUUAUACAAAUCAAGUAUUACAAAAUUAAUUACUAAGCAACUUGGUUAGUGAUGAAAAUAAAUUAAAGUGAUGGGUUUCUAAUUAUAUUAAACUAAGUAUGCUUAAAAUUAAAUUAAAUAAAUAAAGAAAUAAGUAUGCAAGUUUUUAAGAGAAAUCACAAUAGCAUGUAUGUGUAGAAUAAUUUUCCUUCCUAACUUAGAAAAAUCUAAAUAAUGCUAAUGAUGUUACAACAAAAAUCAUGGCCACUCGACUUUUUAUUAACCCUGUUUUAGUUACGAGUACUUUGGCUUCUCUCGAUGUCCUAAGUUUAACCUAUUAUCUGCAUAUUUCUAUGUCCAUUUCGACUUCAAGGUUACUUUUUCAAGCAUCGUCUAAAAAUUCACACUUUGCAUAUGUCUAUGUCAACAACUUAUUAUUUUUAAUAAGCAGAAAAUAGAUUAUUUGAGGUAACAAAAAUAUUUCUAUAUUAAAACAAUUUAAUCACAUAAAUCCUAGGGUUAUGCAAGGUAAUAAAGGUCUUUCGAUAGUAUUAUAAAUCUGACCUAAUAUUAUCAUAAAUAGAUCAAACAUGCACCAUUCAGAUAUUGUGUCAAUUAAUUACAACCUUAUUCUUAUUUAAUAAUUAAUUCAAUUGCAUCCUUACAUUUAUAAUGCACGAAUGACAUAUCCAUGGUUUUAUCUGAAUGAACAAGCAACUGAGGCACAUAACACCAUUAACAGAAUUAAAUAAUCUAAGCUACGGAAAUUAAAUCAUUCUAACGUUGACAAAAUUAAGCAACCAUGACUAUAUUAAAAGCAAAAAACUCAGUUGCAAUCAUGUUUCUUGAAUUGAAUAAAAAUAAAGGAUUUAAGGGUAAAGAAAUGCGAAGUUGUUUUUGGUGGCUCUCCAAGGCACAACUCACUUCGCUCAUCCUUCGUUCUUCACUUCUUUCAGUGAAUACCAAGCUUGAAUGCUCCUAUUAUGGCUUAAUGUGGUUGUUCUCAAAGCCUUGCAAAACUCUUUGAAGGAAGAAAAAAUAUGGAGAGUGAAAGAAGAGAGAAAAGAGAGAAAAGAUUAUGAAUGAAGGAUGAUUCAAAUGGGGGAAUGGCAAGGGGUAUUUAUACUUGUGAGGAGCCCUUGAGUUUGCUAAAAAUAGCAUGUCAAUCCCCAAUUUUUUCUCUCAUGCAUGGCUGACCACCUUGAAAAGAGGAAGGAGGGUGGAUGACUUUGCUAAAAAUAGCUAGUUCAAGCUUGAUUCAUGGAAGGAGUUGAACGAUCAUUUGAGGAAUUUGUUGGGGGCUGAUUUGUGAUUUUUUAACAAGUAUAGGGAGCCUAAUUUAAUUAAUUUAUGGACUGUUGGGCUGCUCAUAGCUGAAUUUGGGCUCUUUCCUCAUUAAUGGACGAUUUGGGCUUCAAAUUAAGCAACAGACUUGUCCACUUCAGUGAUCUAAUUACGAGUCGGGUCAAGUAUAUCCCAUGAUCCAAAAAUUUAUUGAAUUGGAUGCCCAAAGCUGAUUAAUUAUUAUCAGCCCUCCUCUGCAUGGCAAGUGCUACAGGGAUGCUACAAUAUUUGACCUUCAAAAGGUGAGCUUCAAGACUGCCUUUUCUCUUUUUGCACCAAAAAGCUUCAAAUUUGGCAAAAAUGCAUAAGUUUAGCAUAUAAAUAAUUAAAAAUGGAUUUUUUUUAAUUUUGUCCAUUUUAGUUAUUUUUUAAUAAAAUUAAAAAAUUUUCUAUCGAAACACUCAAAAUUUACAUGAAUUACUAGUCAGAAGGUGCUAAAAAAGUCUAUGUAAUUUAGAGUUAUCAACUUAAUUCAUUUCUCGUCUCGAGUAAUGCUAACUUAAAACUCAAAGAACCAUUUUUUCAAAAAUCACUUCAAACAAAAUCAAAUCUUUUCCAUAGUUAUGAGUUUAUCAAAAUUAUGCUAAAAAUAGAAGAUUUGGAAACAUGCAAUUUCAGUACAUAUAACACUCAAUUAUUUCAAAUAUUAAUACGCUAACAAAAAUAUGUAUUAAAUACCUUCCCUCAACAAAUGUAUGCUGAGUACUUCCCAAUUAAAUUUUAUUUCCUUCGAUUCAAUUAAGCAACAAUCCCUAAGUUUAAUUGUGCCUUCAUAUGUUGAGCUUAAUAAUUCUUCUCCACUAAUGUUGUCGGCAUAAUAAUCUAAAUCAAUAGGUCUUUCACAAGGUUGUAAUGGGGCUAGGGUUAAUGUAUGGAAAAGAGAUAGACAAUUUUUAGGUUAAAACCUUAGACUCGGCUUAUCUCAGACCUUCAAGUACAAAUAUCCUCAAGAACACCAAUUCUGUACAUUUUUUAGCAAAUGAUUUGUUUAAGCAAUCACUGUGGCUUUAUUGAGCAUACAAUUCAACAGUUUGAUCAUUCCAAUAUUUCUUUCUAACUCCUCCAAACUUAUUCAAAGAAAUAUUUUAGAUGUAUUGAGCCUAAGAUUUGGGACAAGUAGAGAUAAAUUUAAAGGAAAGAUGACUUAUUAAUGUAGGGUUUUAGAAGAAAAUAAGGUUAUAUAGCUCAAAGUAAGCUUUCAAGGGAUAAUUAUUAUUAAGGUUGGCUUGAAAGGCUCAAACGAUUCAAACAAAAAUUUGCCAAAAUCAUUUUUCCAAUUACUAUGUCUCCUAGGAUUUUGCCUCAAGGAAAUUACUAAGUCAAUUCUAAAAGUUUAAAAUUUAAUGCAUACUUAAUUUUUCUAAAAGUUUAAAAGUCUACACCAUACUAGGUAGCUCAUAAGAGCUUAAACUACACCGCACCAAAGUUCUAAGCAUGUAGGCAUAAAAUGCAUUCUCUUAUGUAUAUACAUCUCUCCACCACACCAAAGUCUCUGUAGAGACAUACGAUAUUCGAUUAUCCACAACAAAUGUUGGAUCUCGAUGUAACAAGUAGUAAAUCUCUGUACAAUCGCAUAUCUCGUACAAGCACACAAAUAAAUCUAUUGGUAUAUGCUAAUCGUAUCCUUUCAUUUACUAUGUUCACACAUGCACCUUUUUCACAUAUAACCAUUUCUUUACAAUUUAGUAUGUAUAUCACCUUUUGUACCAAAUUGUAAACAAUUCAAAUUUCAACCAAACACAUAUAUUCAUAGUUAAACUAUAUAAAAAUUUAAAUACAGUCGUACCAUAUGAACUUACCUAGUAAAAACAUAAAAUAAUAAGAUGUCAAGGAUUAAUCCAUUAUUUUACCUUUUCAUCAAUUAACCUCUAAUUGAUUCAAAUCUCGAUCUAUACGAUAAUUCAUUUCAAUUUAUCAAUUCCAAAUACCAUAUAACAUCCUAUUACAUGCAUAUGACAGUUCAAUUUCGCUUUUUAAAUGCUCCCUAUGUUCGAAAAAAUGAGUUUGGAAAACGCAGGGGGAAAUAAAUUUAAGGAAAACCAGAGUUUUAAUUUUUUUUCCAAAACAAUACCUUGGUUGUUAUAUCUAAAGUAAUAAACACCUAAUCAAAAUUGUACCUUUACGAUUCGUCUAAAAUGAGCGCUUUGACCUAAUAUUCUUCUUCGUUAUCCUCAAGCUCACGUCUAUCGAGUGUGGGCUCGCUUCGAAUCAAGAAAUUUUUCACAACAAUUACCAAUGGGGUAAUUUCAUAAUUUCUCUAAAAUUUUAGGUCAAGUUGUAAAUCAGAAAAUAUCUCUAGAAAAUUUCUAAAAUAAUCUCUUCAAAGAAUUUUUUUUCUCUAUAACUUUCUCUUGAAUUCAAGUGUGUGUAAAAUAAUGACCCAAGGCUCUCUUUAUAUAUGGAGAGAUUAGAGAGUUCAACUAUGAUUAAACUUAAUCACUUUAACAUUAAAUUAAUAUAAUAAUUAUUAUAUUAAUUUAAUGUUAAAGUGAUUAAGUUUAAUCAUAGUUAGUAUUAAAUCUUAUUAAAAUAAUAGAAUGUAUAUAAACAUUAAAUUAAAUUUAAUAUUAAGAUAAUCACUUAAUAUUAAAUUAAUAAAAUACAAUUAAGAUAAGUAUUAAAUUUAAUUUAAUAUUAAACUAUUAAAAUAAUAGUAUUUUUGAAAUAGUUAAUCUGAAAUCAAAUUCUUUAGUAGAGUCCCAGUAGGUGUGAGACACUCCUACUGCUCAACCACUGAAGCCACCGGCCUCUGGGACGCCGUCGUCGUAGUCACCGACACCGUCGUGUCCCGUGAUACAGGUGCAACACCUUUACCGCACCCCAAGCCUAUUCGGCUAUUGUUAGGUCAUCUGGGUCAGUGACAACCUGACCGGUUCGGUCUAGCCACCGGUUGGACCGUUGACCCGAUUUUACAUAUCGAGCCUGAUUUGACCAAUUUUUAGGUCUUGGUCUCGAUUUUGGGCUCCUAGACCCAAUUUACGAUCUCAGGUCUAAUUUUCAAGUUCAAUUACCCAUUAUGCCACUUGUCUGACUUGAAAAUUAAUUUUCAAAAAUAUCAUAUUAAUUUUAAUUAAUUUUAAUUAAUUUGAUUAAUUUAAUUUUACUUUAUCAAAAUUAAAUUUCUCAAAAGUCACUUAUGUUUUCCAAAUUAAUUUUUUAAGAAAAAUUUUUAAUCAAAAUUUCUAGUUGAACAAUUCUCACGACCACCUAAUUUAAUUCUACAUUGAAUAAAUAGACUCAAUUAAAUUAUUUCCAAAGUUUUAGAAUUUUCUUCCAAUUCAAAUGCAAUUCGAUCGAGCUUUUGUUGAGCUGGCGGAAGGGCCAACCGAACAUAUACAAUUAGGCUCUAGUAAUUGCAAUUAUUUCCAGAAGCAUCGUUCUGAUAAUUCACACUUAUUUAAUCACGGAGUCGGUCCACAAGAGGUACCAUGAUUGAAAAGUCAUUAUUUGAUAUUCUUUACGGAAACAAUUCAUCCAGUUGUUUUUGUAACGCCCCAAAAUCUCUUAUAUAAUUUUUCAUAUGUUUGUGACACAACUGUAUGUCUGCUUCAGUGGUUAAGUGUUCUAGGAAGUGUUUGAGAGGUCUCAAGUUCAAGCCUUAGCUUGGGCAAAUUUUUUUUUUAAAUGAAUAAACUCCUAUCUCUAAUCAAUAGGCUUAUAAAUAUAUGUUGGUAAAAUAUGUCAGAAUGGGCUUGCUGGUCUGGUGGUUAAGUGGGGUGUUAGUGUGCUGGGGGUCUUGAGUUUGAAUCUCUGUAUGUACAAGAGGGAUUUUUUUUGUUCUUGUGCCGUGAAGGAGUUUGAAAUGUGGUAAAAUACUGAGUGUUUGAGAUGUGUGGGAGGUUGUGGACGGUUUGGGGUGUUUGGAUUGGGUGGGGAGUCAUGUGUAGAGAUUUGAGGAGAGUAACAAUAGGGGAUUUAGGAGUUACGCAGUUAUUUUUCUUCUCUCCUGCAAAGUCUCUGUCAUUUUUCUCUCCAUUUUUCAUUUGAUGUUUAAUUUUAUCCUCCCUCUUGUUGAAUCCACCUUUUUCCUUCCUUUCCCUUUUCAACUUUGUUUUCAAAUGGUCAUAUUACGCAACAUAGAGUCACACUCGUUCCGUAAGUGAUAAUGGUGCCAUAAAUUUUUGGGUUUUUUUAAGUUAUUAAUUUGGGAACCUUUGUUUAACUGUGUUGACAGCCAAAAAUCUGGUGUGAGGGGCUGUGCUAGUGUCGAGUUAUAGAGGGAAGCGUCCGUAGUUCGUAAGGUAAGGGUUUUUCCGCUUGGAAGGUGACUUUUCGGUUUUUGGGUUAAGUUUAAUUCGAUCGUUUAAGUGACUAAUUGAGCAAAAUGUUGGUCAAUAAUAGGUUCUAGAGUGCUCAUAGUGGCUUUAGCUUCGAAUCGAAACCAGGUGUGUAACCAUAACACUGUAAACGAAAAUGGCGAAAAGCCAAAAAGUGAGGCUGUCGACGCCACACGUGCGUGUGGCCGUCCGUAUGGUUGGUCGUGUGAUCAAACAUAGACGUUUGAUCGACGAGGCUGGUCGUGUGCGAUACACAGGUCGGACCGAAUUAGGCCGUGUGGGCCCACAAAGGCGUGUGGAUUUUUGGGCCAGGCCAUGUUAUCUACACGACCAAGGCCAAUUUGGGCCAUGUGGGACACACGGGCGAAUAUCAUGGGCUUGUAGGCCUAUUUUCACUGUUUUAUUGCUAAGGUUGCACGAGUCGCCCGAGUCGCCCGAGUCGACUGUGGACCUACUAUAGGGUCGGUAAGCUUACCUAGACCCCUAAUUGACUGAAUGACUAUUAUGUCCAUGUACGAUAUAUAUAUUUAUGACUAUAUAUUGAGCAUGCUGUUAAACUGUACUGAAUGCAUGUAUGAUACCAGGAUUUGACAUGACAUGAUUUUAUGAUGCAUAGCAUGGGGAUGUGUUUAUAUUGAUUGGAGGAAGUGUACUGAAAGGCUUCGAGCCUAACUUACUGGUAACUCAAUUGCAUAAUACUGUAUAGUGCCGCAUUCGAUGCUACUUGGAGUGUAAGGAUGGGUGGGUUGAUUAUAUCCCCACAUAGAGUGUAGGGUUGGACGGAGAUGGAGUGUAGAGGUUGGCUGGGUAGGAUUUUGUGAUUGCAUAACUAAUACUAUACUAAUUACUGAUACUGUAAUGGGCCAAGGCCUACUGCAUGACUGCACCUGGACUGAAUGGACUAAGGCCCUAACUGAAAUUGGAUCUGAUACUGAAAAGGGGCUUAGGCCCAGAUUGGAACUGAUUUCUAUCUUCGUAAACUCACCCUUCUGAUUUAUCUGUACAGGUAAUACCCAGUCAUAAGUGGAUCGGUGCGAUGGAGGACUCAACGGUCGCCACACGACCUAUUUAAUUCGAUUUAGUAUUCAAUUAUAAUUUUGAAUUUGUUUUGGGGGUAUUUUACUGUAUCAUGGCCUCUUUGGACUUAUAUUUUUAAUUUGGGAUUUUUAAUUGUUUUUGAUUUAUAACUGCUAGUAGUAGGGAUAUUCGAGUUUUCAAAAAGAACCAAACAUUUUAACAAAAUCCACUCAAAUAUGUAACUGUUUUCAAAAGCUUCCGCAAUAAGUGACGUUUUGAAAAUUAAUAACAUUUUGAAAGAGAUUAACUUUAUUAAUUACAUUUUGAAAUGAACGACACGUCCUGAAUUAACAUAAGACACUGUCAAGAGGUUAUAUAGGUAAGAGGUUUUUUACGACAACUCAUUUUUUUCAAAAAACACUACCAUGCGCCAUCGCCAGAUUCAGCCAUAACGUCUAGGCCGAGUUUGGGGGUGUUAUAGUUUUGUCCAAUGACCUCGUCAUGUGUGUGUUACCCUUAUAUGAUAUCUUUGAUUCCUUUGAGUUAAAUCCGUUUACUCAAUACAAUCCUAUUUUAUCUCAUUGUCACCAUUGUGUCUUCUGAAUGAUUAAUAUGACAACUGUCAACAAAUGAUUGUGAUAAUUUGUUUGUUCGAGAACAAGCAACCCAUGACCACGUUUCAUAUUUCUGAAUCUACACAAUGUCAAUGAAAGGAUAUCAUUAACUCUUUAAUUGAGCUAUGAAUUCCACUGUUGCUAGUAAAGCCAUGUCAUACACAAGUCAUGUACUCAACAUACCAGCUAUGGGCUCGAUCAUCUUUAGAGCAAAAGCCUCUACUUAUAUCAAUGCACAUGAGUUGCAUACGCAUGGUUAGUGACUCACUCAGGAUAUAGGUAAAUCACACCAUAAACUUUACAAGUGAAUUAAUUCAGAAACGGAUUCAGAAUUAAUUCAUCUUAGGUCUAGUCCAAUCUAUCAUUCUACCAAUGAAUACAUCUAUGUCUCUACCCGUGGAGUCAACUGCUUCGAUAGCCAAGACUAGCCAUCUCCCCAAUUAGAAUUGUAGACGACAUAAUAAUCCUUCUCAUUAUUUGAAUCAAAUGCUCACUUCGAUUCUUUUACAGGAUUACGGACUUAUUUAGAUUAUCUACUGAAGUAAGUUGCCUUUUUCGCAAUGUAAACUUUCUUAAAAUGCCACUUAUCUUCAAAUUGAACUUAAACAAUCAAUGAACUAAUAUUUGUUUAUCACAAUUUUGCUAUGCAUGCAAAAUAUAAAAGUCAGAAAUGCAAAAGACAUAAUAUUGAAAUGUGAAAUUAACUUUAUUUAUUUAUCGUUCAAAUAAAUAGAAAAUAAUUACAUGUUUACUACAAUAUGGGCACAUUUCCCAACAAUCUCCCACUUGCCCUAGUGAAAUAAAUGUUUAAUGUUUCACAUAAUCAUAUCCUCGACGUGUUCGUUAAAACUCCUAGUUACAAGAGUCUUAGUAAAUGGAUCUGCAUGGUUAUCUUUAGAAGCUACUUUCAUCACAUCUACAAUUUAUUCGACUACCAUCUCUCGUAUCAAGUGAUACUCUUGAUCAAUGUGUUUCGUCCUCUUGUGACUUCUCAUUUCCUUGUUAUUAGCUAUUUCAACACUAUUAUCACAAUAUAGUGUUAUAGCUUUUUCUAUACUAGGAGUUACUUCAAGACCGGUUAAGAACUUUCGAAGUCAUAUUGCUUCUUUCGUUGCCUCAAAAGUAGCCACAUACUCGGCCUCCAUAGCAGAGCCAACAGUGCAAGUUUGUUUUACACUUCUCCAUAUUAUGAUUCCACAACCUAGAAUGAAUACAUUUCCCGAUGUUGAUUUCCUCGAAUCUUUAUAGGGUUAGAAGUUUGAGUCUGUGUAUCCAAUAGGAGUAAGGUUCUUCCCCGAAUACAUAAGCAUAUAAUCCCUGGUUCUUUUAAGAUACCUUAAUAUAUGCUUUACAACUUGUCAAUGCUUGAGAUCUAGAUUCGUCUGAUAUCAGCUAAUCAUUCCUACUGUGAAACAGAUAUCUAGACAUGUGCAAAGCAUUGCAUACAUAAGGCUUCCAACUACCGAAGCAUAUGGAACCUUACACAUAUGCUUUCUUUCUUUCACUGUCUUAGGACAAUCAUCAAAAGAAAGAUGAAAACCUGAUGCAGUCGGUUGAAUGUUUGGCUUCACAUUGGUCAUUGUAAAACAUUCUAGUACCUUAUCGAUGUAUGAAGCUUGAGAUAAAGCUAUCAUUUUAUUCUUUCGAUCCCUAAGGAUUCAAAUUUGAAGAAUAUAAGUAGUUUUACCCAAGUCCUUCAUGCUAAACUAUUGAGCUAACCAUAGUUUAACCGAUGACAAGUCUCCUACAUCGUUUUCGAUAACUAGAAUAUCAUCGACAUACAAAACGAGGAAGACCAUUUUUUCCUUUAUACGCUUAUCAACACAAGGUUCAUCGGCAUUUUUCUCAAAUCCAAAAUUCUUAAUCAUUUGAUCAAAUCUUUUAUUCCAUGAGCGAGGACGCCUACUUAAGUCCAUAAAUGGAUCUUUGCAGUUUGCAAACUUUCUGCUCAUUUCCUUUGACAACAUAGCCAUUUGGUUAAGCCAUGUAAAUGGUCUUAUCAAGAUAGGUAUUCAAGAAUGUUGUUUUGACAUCCAUUUUCCAGAUCUCGUAAUCGAGAGCAGUGACAAUGGAAAGAGUAUGCGGAUAGACUUGAACAUGGCUACUAAAGAGAAGGUCUCAUCGUAAUUGAUGUUUUCUUUCUGUGUCUAGUCUUUCCCUACAAGUCUAGCUUUGUGUGUUUCCACUUUCCCUUUCGCAUUCCUCUUCUUCUUGUAGAUCCACUUACAUCCUACGAGUUUAAUCCCAACCAGUAAUUCUACAAGUUCUUACACCGUAUUGGAUUUCAUAAAAUCCAUAUUGGCAUCUAUGACCUGUUUUUAGAGCUUGGAAUCAAUGUCCUACAUAUCCCUCUCGUAAGUGAGUGGAUCAUCAAUCUUAUGAUUGGCUUCUGUAUUAUAAAUAAUAUCAUCAUAGAUGAAGAAGUCCGGUUUCUUAUAAACUCUCCUACUACGAAGGAUUCCCCUAUGUUGUUGAUUGUUUACAGGUAUUUCUACAACUUUCUCGAGAAUUGAACAUGGUGAUUGUUCUACCACAGUCGAAAGUUCCUUGAGUACCACAUUACUUGAGGCUUAAAGUUAUCAAUGUAGUUUUCCUCAAGGAAAGUAGCAUGAGUAGAAAAUUUAAUAAUAUUUGUAAUGACCCAAUAUUGCCCGGCCCAAACCAGAAAUAAAUAAACAAAAAAAUAAAGAACAAAUGAAAUAGUCCAAAAAUAGUCCAUUUACACUGGGCUCAAUAUGGCCCAAACUAAAGUCCAAACCAACUAAAACCCGAAUCAGCCCAAAGCUAAGAAAAUAAGAAACCCUAGGGUUUCUGGAGAUCCCAGCGCCGCAGCAACCAGGACACAGCCUCCAGCGCCUUUGAUCUUCCUCUCUACACGCGCCACGCCACCACCUCCUUACAGCCGUACCUGCGCAACACACAAACAAAAUAGCAAGAGAAAAGCAGAGAAAAAAGGAAAAACAGAAAGAAAAAAGAAAUUUGUAUUCUUUUCUUAUUUUUCUUUUUAUUUUCGGGUUAUAAAAACCCCAUGGAUGUACUCGACCUUUUUUACCCACGCACAUAUUGAAUAAAACAAAACAAAAAUUUCAGAGAAAAAGACCAAAAAUUUGAAAGGUGAUUUACAGUUUUUCUUUAUUUUUCUUUUUUUCUCCGUUUCUUUUCAUUUUUUCUUUCCUUUCUCUAUGCGUAACAAUAAAAAAGAAAAAUGAGGGAAUCGUACCUUGUUUUCGGAAGCCGUCCGAUCUCUGACCCUCUCCGUCGCAAUCGGGGUCUUGGUGGAGGUCAUGGAUGCGACAACAGCGCCGUACCUGGGGGCUGGUACCUAGGUUUCUUUGAAAAGGGAAAGGGGAAUCUGAUGUUUAGGUUUUAGGUUUUGUAUAUUUUUUUAGUUUUAUAAAACGUAAAACGACGCCGUUUAGGGGCUUACGACCCACGCGGUGACCCGACCCGAGGGAAGGAUCUGCGUGUUUCAUCUCAAUGGUUUAUUUUCGUGUUUGGUCCUUCUAUUUUUGAUUUGCUUCAGUUUAAUCCUUUUUUAUUUUUUAAUUUGGCCACAUAAUUCGAUCCUGCGUCCAAUUUCGUCCUCUUGUUAGUUGAGGAGACGAAUGU